rnacentral:lncRNA from 1 species
CAAGAUGUUGAGAUCCAUCUUACCUCGCACGACAGUGGCGAAUGACUACAACUGGAGUCAUUGGACUGCAAUGGUGGGGUUGAGCUGGAGGAUGCAAUGGCGGCGGCGACAUGCACAUCAGUGCCGAGCAAAAUAAUGUGCCCAUUUUUGUUUUCCUGCAUUAGAAAAUGUUUUGCAAGAGAUUCCAGAUGCUACAACUAGUUCUCAUUAAAUUGGAGGAUACAAAAUCAAAUUCCCAAUACAAAUACAUUUUUAAUCUGGAACUAACAGAGGUUACAACAGAGAACAAUCCCUGGUUUCUCAAAUUGGAAUUCAUGCCCUUUUUAUGUCAUCGUUACAAACUAGACUUCUUUUUUUCUAAUAAGAACACACACUAUAAAGGAAAAAUAGAAAUUUCUUUUGCCAUCCUUGGUGGAGCACAUAACGGCAGGUGCAACAAGUUCAGAGUGUGCAAGUAGAAAGGAAGAGGUUCAGAGAAAAAGACUGACACUUGGUCAUGCUGCGGAGGCGUCCUGUAGUCCAUACUUGUCUGGAGCAGCAGUAAUGAGGACGGAACUAGAGAAGGCCAACGGAAAUUUUGCAAAUAACACUCCUCGCCACAUCACAUAAUUUGAUCUCCUCCAGUACCUGCUACUACUACUCCUCCUUGUUGGAUUUGGGCACGGCCAACCUGACGACCAACAACAACAGUAGCACAGGUGGGUCUAAUUUUCCAUUAACAACCACUGUCAUACGCUGACCAUUGGAGGACAAGUCGUGGCUGUGCACGAGAGAUGCAGAGGGACCAAGGGGAGCAUGGAGUGGAUGAGGUAGGAGGGGCUGAGAACAGCAUCAUCGACAGCGGGGCUGACUAAGACGACCUGCGGAGGCGUCGGACGGCGGAGAGACGAGGCUGGAAGCUCGAACGGCGCGCGAUGACCAGCUCAGAGGCGGUGCAUGGGAGAAGGCAGGCUGCAGGGGUGGCGCACGGCGCCCGGUGCGCAAGUGACCCGAGAAAGGAGGCGGGAUACAGGGUUGACCCACGGUGAGGUGGGAGGAGCUGGAAGUCCAGAUCAGGGUCUCGGCGUGGUUCGCCAUGGGGAUCCAUGGUGAUGUAUGGUGACUCGCUUGGGGGAGGGAGGUUGGAGCGCCGGCAUCAUCUAGGAGAGGCGAGUGGUGGAAUGAGGAGGGCGCGAGCUCGGGAACGGCGGCGGCGGGCGAGCUCAAGAACAACUACGGUGGCGCACUAGCUCAGGAACGGCGGCACGCACGAGCACAGGUGCCGGCAACGCGUGGAGGUGUGUGGAUCCUGGUGGCGGCGUUGGUGAGAAGUUGGCGGUGUGGGGAGGUGGGUCGCGGCGGCGGUGGUGCGCAGGCGGCAGCGCAGGGAUGUGGCGGCGCGGCGCACGGGGCUGCUUGGGUGCAGCGGCGAGGAUCUGGGAGGUCGCCGCGGCAAUGGCGGAUCUGGGGGGAUAAGAUGAGGCGUUUUUUUGUUUUGGGAAGUUCGGGAGGGCCCGACAGGGCCCUAUAUUGUGCAUUGUGAUCGAAUAGUUAUUCUAAUCCCAGGAUUAGAAUAUCACUUGGGGGCUUGGUCAUAUUCGAAUCAUAGCUUAAACCCUCUUGAUAGGCGUAAGGCCACCAGGGAAAUCACUUGGGGGCUUGGUCGUAUUCGAACCAUAGCUUAAACCCUCUUGAUAGGCGUAAGGCCACCAGGGAAAUCACUUGGGGGCUUGGUCGUAUUCGAACCAUACCUUAAACCCUCUUGAUAGGCAUAAGGCCACCAGGGAAAUCACUUGGGGGCUUGGACAUAUUCGAACCACAGCUUAUACCUUCUUGGUAGGCGUAAGGCCACCAGGAUGAUCACUUGGGGGCUUUGGUCGUAUCCGUACCAUAGCUUAAACUCUCUUGAUCGGCACAAUGCCACAAUUAUGCCAAUUCAAAACCUCUUGAUUUUUUAGGUUUAUUUAAUUCCACUUAUCAUACUUUAUGGUUCUAAUGCACCGGUGUUCAUUAAACCGGCUUGGUUUUGACUAUAAGUCGCCAGUAACAUCUGAUACUUAUCAACACCCGGUCCAACUUUAUUUAUAAACCGGUAACAUCUGAUACUUAUCAAGGUUCCGGUUGUGGGUUAUAACCCUCAUUACACUAGUUUGGGGUGAUCAACCAUCAUAGGUAUGAUAUCUUUUAAUGAUUAUUAUUUCCACCAGCUUUGAUUAUAAAUCAUGAUAAAUUCAUGUUGGGGCAGUAUAAUCCGUCUUGCGGUAAACCGCCAGGACAUUUUUUCUCUGUUGUAUGAAGGAACAGCUUUAGGAUGAAUAAUAUCAUCAGGCAUACAUGGCGUGUCUUCACAUAACGAUAAAGAAGUAUCAUUGAAACAACCAAAUAUGCACGAGGGAGUAUUAAAGCAAAAGGUUUGAAGCUAGCCCAUUACAAGGCAUUUUGAGCCCAAAAGAUAAUGGUUUUUAAGUCUCAAAUAGCAGCUGAUAAACCGACCCCGGCUCAUGAAUCCUGACCCGGCUGACUGGAUGGUUGCGCCUCACCCCUUGCCGGUUCGUCUUCCUCCACCAUCUGGAAAUUGGGUUUGGACCAGUCAAAGCCAUGAAGGGCGACAAAUUCAGACUCAUCAUCAAUCAGACCAGACGGGUCAAUCUCAGGGGCAAAAGUGUGCUUACGAAUCGGCAGGAUUAAGUCCAUCACUUUAUAGGAAGGAGUCGCCAUCUUCUUAUUGUCUGCAUCAAAACCCGGCUGAUACUUAGUGAGGUUGGUUUCUUAACCGAUAAUGGUAGCACGAGGACGCGUUUCCUUGACACAAGCAGCAAAAUCUUCUUGGUUGAAAGGUGUUCCAUCUUCUUUAAAGCUGGGGGUAUCCUUUAGCCACGUCUGCCGGGUCUAAUUCUGGCACCCAGGCUUUAGCAGAGCAUAAAGUUGUUACAGCUCCAGCUCUCGCGCAUGAUCGCUUGAUUUCUUGGAACCGGCUGGGCAAGAUAGACAGCUUCUUCAAGAUGUCACUUAAUAGAGUCGGUCAUUGAUUCACGGGGGAGAUAGGGGCAAGUGUCUGUUGAGCUCCGGUGUACAACUGUUCAACCAACGUGUAAACCACCUUCAGCUUUACUAUGGUAUCCCGGUUCAGAUUGCUGCUCUUGGGACCUGAAAAUAUCAUACAAUGAGUUAAGUGGCGGCUUAUAAUGGAAUAUAUUUAUUUGAAGUAUGUAACAAAGUGACUUACCGAAGAUUGCAGAAACCAUUUGAGACACACGGUUCUUUAAACCGGUGAGUUUAGCGGUGACUUCUCCUAGAGCCGCUUCAGCCUUCUCUGCACGAUGUGUUAAAACAAUCUUCUCAUUAGCCCAAGCUUAUUUUUCCACUGUGAAGUUGGUCUUCAAUUUUUCGGUCUCAGAAACACUCAACUGGAAUUUGGAUUCAGCCUUCUUUGUCUCUAUCUCUUGAGUCGCUAGUCGGGCCUUGGCCUCAACAGUUGGGAUUCUAGUUCUGUGGUUGCAACCUACAUACAUCAUAAUGUUGUUUCAGUUUCAUGGCGGAUUAUAAAAGAUAAGUCCCAAGUGUUUUGUCAACAAUAACACUUGGCACUUCGGGGCUAAUGUCUGUCAGCGCAAUUUUUUUCAAAGGAAACAAUUUUUCUAAAAAGUCCCAAGUGUUUUGCAGGCAACAACACUCGACACUUGGGGGCUAAUGCAUAUUGCUUGACUUUUCUUUCUACAAGUGAGCCGUAUAAGCUGUCCACAGUCUCAGCCGGCUCAGGCAGGUUAUACGGUUUAGUUCAAUGCAAUAAUUAGUACGACCGGCUCAUUCAUACUGAUUAAACCGGCCCUUGGAGGCUAGUAGGCUAUAUAACUUAUAUGAGCCGGAGAACAUACCUCAUAUUUUUGAUGCAUCUGUUUGACCAUUUCAAUUUCUGAGUCAUGGCUAGAGUGCACUUGACUGAGAUAACCGGAUAGCACUUCACUAAUACUCAGGUGAGCAUAGUGGGAGACAUCCAACCUCACCUUUUGCCUCUACAUAACUUCUUGUUUGGCAGAGUGUCUUGCCAAGAUAGUUGGGUUCCCCAGUUCAACGAAUCUAGUGCUAGUGAUUAAAACAUCAACAUUGUGCUUCUCCGGCGGGUUAGCUGAGCUUGACGAAUCAAUACUAGAUGGAUCAAUAGUAGUUUCAUCUGUAGACUGCUCGGGUAAAUCAGGUUGAACGUUGAAGGCAAGGUCCUCUGGCCAUUUAGCGUGUUCGGGCAGAAAUGUUGACUGCUCCGGGUCUUCAAGAUGUUCUGGUACGAGGUUUGGCUACUCCGGUUCAGUGGUUCUCGGAUCCUCAGCCGGUUUUGUUACAUUUGCUUUCUUGGGCUUUGCUUGACCGCUAGAAAGGAUUAGACAAGUCAGUACAAUGAUACAUAUUUAAAGGUGUAUAAGAAGGGUAGUUAUCUUUACCCGGGGGCGGUCGUGAAAGCCGGAAAUUGCGUCUGUGAUGAAUCGCAGGAGGAGGAAUGGGAAAUCUCCUAUAAAUAUGGAAUCAAAAAGAAGUGAUGAAGGUAAUUCAUUGAAUAAAUACAAGGGUGAAAGUCAAAAAUGAACCUCAUUCUGGCGUUUCCAAGGAGAUUUUGGUAAGCCGAAGGGUAAAUCGUCAUCUCCACCGGCUGGGUCUGCCGGCGGCUUUCAUGUUGCUGUCGUUUAAAAAUAAAAUGAGGAUCUAAAUAAGCCAAGGGGUGUCAAAACCUUUCUUUCCGGGUUACCCGCCGAAGUUUCUGCCUUGGUAAAGGUUCUGAGUCGGUGGAAAUAAUAUUUACCUCUUCUUCAACUGCCUGGCUGGCCCCCGUGUCAUCCUGGUAAUAGUCAAUGUCAAUAAGGUGGUUAAAAAGCAUGCCAAGAGAGUCAAGGGCUACCUCCGACUCAGAGGUGUCAUCCAGCUUGAGUAACUCAGAGGCGGUUGGCUUCUUCUUCUUCGAUUUUCUGACGAUUUUCUUGGUGGCUAUCGCAACAACUCUAGCUUUCUUGGUAGCCUCAUGGUCAUACUUGACUUUCCAAAAGUCAGAUUUAGCCCGUGGAAGGGUAGCAUGUUGAAAUUCAUGCAAAUAUUUAAACUGCUGAAGUAAAAGAAGUCAAAGGAUUUACCUCUGGUGCCGGGUUAAGCUUGCAAAAAGGAUUUAACCCCACUAUGCUACAUCUUCAUACUUGCUGUUGACAAGAGUAGUUGCCAUUUCCGCAAUGGCUUCUUCCGUCAGACGCAGGGAACUAUGACGUAAUGGAUCAUCUAUUUCUCUGGUGUAGUUACACAUCAAGCCGGAUCGACGGCUCAGAGGGAUGAUCCGCCAUGCGACCCAACAGUGGAUCAAGUCAACUCUAGUUAACCCAUUUCCAAGUAAGGCUUGAACUUUUUGGAUUGUGGGGACAAGUUUCUUGCAUUCAGCGGAAGAAAGCUUAUCAGGAAGUUGAUACUUGGCGUCAAGACGUUCAGCACGGUAACCCGGCAUUGGGUUUUCAUCAGACGGUGAGGAAUCCUUGCAAUAAAACCAUGUCUGAUUCCAAUCCUUAGGAUGGCUUGGCAGAACUACAAAAGGGAAGAUGGCAUCCCAUCUACGUUGAAUUGAAAUCCCGCCAAGUUCUAAGCUGGGACCAUUGGUGUAUUCGUUCUGGCGGUUCAGGUAGAAAUAUUCUCUAAAAAGCUCCACCAAAGGUUCUUCUUGAAGAUAAACCUCACAGAAAACUUGGAAGUUGCAGAUAUUUGAUAUGGAAUUGGGUCCGAUAUCUUGCGGGUGAAGCUUGAAAAAAUGCAAAUCAUCUCUAAAGAAUUUUGAGCCGGGUGGUGAGAAGCCCCUGUUCAUGUGAUCAGUGAAAACAAUAAUUUCACGGUCCUUCGGCUGAGGUUUCACUUCAGCCGGGUCAGGAGCAUGGUAAGACAUGACACUUUUUCCGGUAAGUAUCCAACAAUGACAAAGUCUUUCAAAGUACUUUCGGUGACUGUGGAAGGGACCCAGUUGCAAGUGGUCAUCGUCUUUGGAGGCAUGAUGAAAUGACAAUCUAAAAGAAAUAAUUUGCCGGAUCAAGUUAGUUAGUGGGACUGCAAAUCAACAACUACAGAGCUUGUUUUAAGCAAGGGCUAAUGAUAUAUGAGGUACAGGUAAGCCGGGAGAGUAAGCCGCCAUGGUUAAGAUAUUCAAGAAUGACCAAAAACAAGAUUUGCUAAAUACUGAGAUAAACAAGUUCCACAUUUGGAGGUUAUAAAUUUGGAUUUACUGCCGUUCAGGAAAAGGGGAUAAAUUCAUCUAUAAAAGGCGACAGUGGAAAAAUAGAGAAGCCCUAGAGGAGAUUUUCCACGGCGGGGAUGUGAUCUAGUAUUAAAACAAGUGCUAAAACUACCACCGCGCAAGCUUUCCAUAUAUUUUGGAUCUAAUACGUGGAUCUAAAUAAAGGAAAAGGAGGAGGAGGAUGAAUGCAGAUGAACACCGAAGAACACCGAUGAAACCCUAAUGGCGAGAUUAGUGAUGAACAGAGGAAGACUUACUGGGGAUGUAAGAGCAGUGGAGUUGCACCGCAGUUCUCUGGUUUUCUCAGGGCGAUGCAGCGGCUGGAGUCGAGGACGAGGACAGAGGUCGACGGCGGCAGGGCUCGUACUAGGACGGCGCUCUGUGAGGAAGGAAGGAGACGGAGAAGAAUGGAAGAUGGCUUUCGGGUCCUAUUUAUAAGGAGACAGAAACAGGCAGGCACGAAAGACGAGGAUGCCAAAUGAUAGUUAUCCAGCUAAUUGGGUGCCUCGAUUUUCGGGAAGACAUUAAGAUAAAGAUCUGUUAAGAUGGCGUCGGGCGGGUUUCCAAAAAUCUAGGAGAUGACGUCAUGGCGGGUUACAAGUUUUCGCAGCGGGAAUGAGAGGAUUUUUUCUAAGUAUUCAAGGUUGACAUGAACGAGUCCAAAUCAACCUGGGCCUAAUGUUGGGGAUAUGAUUAUUAGGUAUGACCCGCCCAGGAGGGGCCGGGUCAACCCUAUGAAGAUUCAUCACAAUGAAGCCCAAGGUCACCUGUCGAUUCAUAGAUAGGCUUAGUAGAGGGCCCAGACCCAAAGGCGGCUUAAAUCCCACGAGUAUGAACCGCCAUAUAUGUAAAAUUGUACUGUAAGGCAUGUGUAAAAGGUCACCGAGCCGGAUACAUUGUAUAAGCCGGCCGGGACUUUGAGGGCCGCAGGGCAUCUUCCUGUGUAUAUAAGGGGACGACCUAGCGGCGGCUUAGGGCAAGAAACAACAGAUCGAGAGCCGGGUCAAGCAUAUUCGCUCCUUGCUCGUCGAAACCCUAGCAAUACCAACUACAAACUGGACUAGGCUUUUACCUUCAUCGUAAGGGGCCGAACCAGUAUAAACUCUCCGUGUCCUUUGUCCUGUUUAACCCCUUUUAAGUUAACCUCAACGCGAUGGCUCCAUGACUAAGUCCUCAAACUAGGACAUCUGCCGUGACGAUUCCACAACAGUCACGGAACUCGCAAGUUGAUCACCAAACAUACAUCAAGUGGGUCAUGUGAAUAUCCCAUUGUCACCACAUAUAAGCACAUGCAAGACAUACAUCAAGUGUUCUCAAAUCCUUAAAUACUCAAUCCGAUAGGAUAACUUCAAAGGGAAAACUCAAUCCAUUACAAGAGAGUAGAGGGGGAGAAACAUCAUAAGAUCCAACUAUAAUAGCAAAGCUCGCGAUACGCCAAGAUUGUGCUAAGUCAAGAACACGAGAGAGAGAGAGAGAGAGAGAUCAAACACAUAGCUACUGGUACAUACCCUCAGCCCCGAGGGUGAACUACCCCCUCCUCGUCAUGGAGAGCGCCGGGAUGAUGAAGAUGGCCACUGUUGAUGGAUCCCCCCUCCGGCAGGGUGCCGGAAUGGGGUCCCGAUUGUUUUUUGGUGGCUAUAGAGGCUUGCGGCGGCGGAACUCCUAAUCUGGGUUAUUUUCUGGAGGUUUCAGUAUUUAUAGGAAUUUUUGGCGUCAGGAACAAGUCAGGAAGGUGCCCGAGUCGUCUACGAGAAAGGGCAGCGCGCCCGGGGGGUAGGGCGCGCCCCCACCCUCAUGGACGGUCGGGACUCUUCUGGCCCAACUCUUUUACUCUGGGGCUUCUUUUGGUCCAUACAAAAUCAUCAAAAAUUGGCACAUCAAUUGGACUCCGUUUGGUAUUCCUUUUCUGUAAGAGUUAAUUACACUUUUAAUACAUGAACUUGCAUGACGGAUACAAAUUCAUACAUAAAGUUGAAAAAUGUCAUAAAGUAGUACAACAACUUGCGUUUGAGGUAUAUUUACAUACAUUUCGGAUCCCAGGCCAUUAUCUCUCAAACCAAAGACAACACAACAUUGACCUAGAAAGGCUAGCCAGUCCACCAACCGUUACUUGUUGUUUAAUUAGUCAUAAUCUCCUUAUAUCAUCGACAUAAUUGUUCUUGUUCUUUCUCCAUAUAAUUUUUGAAACCAAAUUGGCAUGCCUGUCGGUUCACAUUUCUACAGCCGUACUGCCCGUUUACUGGUUCCUCAGCUAUUUUUUAGGCACUAUAAUUUAGGAUGUAUUCUUUACUAAGAGCAUCUAUAGCCAGACCCUCCAUACCUGCCCUAGAUGCCCCGAUGGGCUGCCUGAUCAUUGUCUGGACCAAAAAACGCCACCCAACCGGGCUACCCGUAUUCGGCCUAAACGUCCGGACUUACCGAUACUCUCCAUAUCCCGCCAUAUAUGGGGCGAAUAUGGGAGUCCCGGAAGCGCCUGAGCACGCCCGCCACGUAGGACUGACCGCUGGUGUCCGUGGCAAUUUGGUCAUAUCAGCUUCCCCUGUCCUUGCUUGAGCAACACUCUUCUCUUCUCUAUUCACCCUCCUCCGCAUUAUCAUCACCAGACUUCCGCCGGCAUCGGUGCUCCGCCGCCAUCCCAACUCAGGGCUUCACGACCAGACGCCCCAACCCACACUGCCGCCGACCAGGUCGCCAUCGGACAAGGUUGCCGCCACCGGACGGCUUCCCGGUAUGUCAAACUCCCCCAUAUUUUCACCCCGCGCUCUAUGUGUUCGAUGAAAUGUCUAAGCUGAUUUUUGAUUCUUUUGGUCAUUACUUCCAUUUCACCAAUGGAUUCGGCAUGUAAAUCAAUAAACUUUGCAAAUAUCCUUGGACAACUUGGUUUUUCCCCCGGUUUGUUAAAAAAUACUUCUGGUUUAGUGGGCUAGUAAGCCAAACAAUUACUUGAAAGUAAAGUAUCACUUGCGUGUAGUGCAUAGUUUUUUAUUCAGAUCAAUUGUACCUCUAAAAGAUAUAUAAAAUCACUAUAUACAUCUGAACCAGUAAUAAUAUGUAGCUCACUGGUUAGUCGAUCACCGCUUGCCGCAAACUCUCGAGUUCUAGUCCUGCGGGAGCAACGCGUCUUUAUUUUUCUUCCUCUUUUCCCACUUACAGGUGGGCCCCACACUUAGAGACCACAUGGAUUUAACAUGGAGAUAUCCUAAAAAAUGUUAACUGGGAGAUAACAUCCAUGGACGGAAAUGUAUGUAAAUGUACUUCAAACAUAAGUUGUUGGACUAAUUUGUGUCAUUUUUUAACUUUAUGUAUGAAUUUGUACGCUCCGUGCAAAUUUAUGUACUAAAAGUGUUAUUAACUCUUUCUGUAAAACUCAAAAACAAGGAAAAACAGAAACUGACACUGGGCUCUAGGUUAAUAGGUUAGUUCCAAAAAUCAUAUAAAAUAGCAUAUAAAUGCAUAUAAAACAUCCUAGAUGGAUAAUAUAAUAGCAUGGAACAAUCAAAAAUUAUAGAUACGUUGGAGACGUAUCAGAGACGUAUCAGCAUGGUGUCACGUCAUAUAUGUCAUGGUAACAACAUUUUCCAAUUUGGGCCAAGCUUUAUUACAAACCUCUUACAAAAACUGGAGCUUCUCUCAAAGAAGCCUCGUGGUUCUGAUAGGGAAAUGUGUCCCCCUUGUGGGCGAAACGUAAUAACUGCCUCUUUUCGCCUUGUAUUUUCUUCUACGGGCAACAUGGAAUGACAGGAUAUCUGUGUUGAAAUUUAAACGAUAUUCGUUGCGUAUUCUCGCCUUGAACUUUGUUUUUUAUAGGCAACAUAGAAUAACAGGACUGUCGGGCUAAAAUUUGAAACUGUUCAGGGUUCGUUUGGCCAUUGUGUGUGUGUAUAUAUAAUAUUUUGAAUAAUAUUAUGAUCACAACCUGACCUACCCCGCUAGUAGUACGUUGAACUUCCCUGUGAACUAGGUUGAACUUCCGCCAACAUUGCCCAAAUGGGGCUUGCGAUAUACCGUUGGAAAGCUAUGGACCCCAAUAUCAUGACCCAACUUAAAUUUUUGGCAAAAUAUAAGUGGUUUAAGAGCAGCUUUGAAAACCGUUAAUUCUUCGCACAAAAAACAUGAAUCGUAUUUUCGAUCGCAUUUCUAAACCGUUUUUUGGAAUGAGGCAUAUAAUAUGGCGUUGGAAAGCUGCUGCAAAACCGCUCCUUCCACAUGUUGAAAGUUUUUCUCUAAUUCCCUAUGGUUAAAGAGUAAUUUGAAAAAACGUAAAAUUUCGUAAACCAAACAGCUGAGUUCGUUUUUUCGAUGACAUUUCUAAAUGGCUAAUCCAGUGGAGGCAUAUGAUAUGGCUUUGGAAAGCUUAUGAAAAUGCGCUACUUUUUCAUCUUGAAAGCUUUUUUCUAAUUUUGAAUGGUUUAAGAGUAAUUUAGAAAAUGGUCCAAGUCCUACCGAGUUCGUAUUUUCGAGCUAAUUUUUUAACCGUGCUUCCAAAUGCAUCAAAUGAUAUGGCGUUGGAAAGCUUGAACAAAUGCGAAACUUUUUGGUAUGUAUUAUUUCUCCAAAUUCUUUACGGUUUUAAGUCAGUUUUGAAAAUGACGAAAAACAUUUUUUUGCUGUAAUUUCUACGAACUUUACCGGAAUGGGGCAAAUAAUAUAAUGCUAAAAAGCUAGGGAAAAUGCGAAACUUUUUCAUGUUUAUGGUUUUCUCUGAUUCCUAGCCGUUUUCAAGUAAUUUCGAAAACGGCUGGAUCUUGCGUUCUGCCUUUAUCGCGAAACAGAUUCUUCGAAAAUGCACCGUGUGAAGAACCUGAACUUCUUGGCGCGUGUACCUGAACUUCACUCUGUUUUUCACGUGAAUUUUUUGCUCGUAGGUCUCCAUCCACUUCUCGUAACUCUCCAUCCACUCACCGGAAUUGAGCAAGUGAUAUACCAGUGGAAAGCUGUUGUAAGCACAUAACUUUCCCGUGGUGAUCAUUUUUCAUACUCGUGAUGAUUUUAAAAGUUUUUCAUCUGAAAUUCAUUUGGCGUAGUAGUUGAACUUCAUACUGUUUUUACGUUGAACUUCUGUGACGUAUUUUCGUUUGUAAUUUUCUCAUCCAUUCGUCAGUGUUACACAAAUGAUAUUCUUGUUGUACAAACCUCUCUCACAAUAAUUUUUUUAACUUUCUCCGACGGAGUACUUGAACUUAUAACGAGAACAAAUUUAGCCUUUUCAUUUUUAUUCUUUUUAAUACAAAAUGCACAUCGUGUAGAACAUGAACUUCUCAUAGUUUAUCAACCUGAACUUCUCUCGGUUACGUGCAAAUAUCUAAGUUUUUUAUAAAUAUUAAUCUGAAUUUCUUAAUCCUUUUUUUGUGAAUUUUAAAGCGCUCCAUUUUUAAAAGUUGAACUUCUUGUUAUUUUAUUUUUGAACUUCUUAUUUCCAUUCUUUAAUAACGAGAAAAAUCUGAGUUUUCUAUAAUCAUCAAACUUCUCCAUAUUUUUAAUAUGGACUUCCUGGUUUUAUUUUCUUAAUUUUUUAUGAAACUUUGAACUGUUGUAUUAUUAAAAGUUGAACUUCUUGUUUUCAUUCUUAACAAAUCUGAGUUUUUAUAUACUUUGAACUUCUCUGUUAUUUUGAAUUGAACUUCUUAGUCUUAUUCUUAGAAAAAUAUGUUUUCAAAGAAGCAUCAAACAUUUUUUUUAAAUCGAACCUCACACAUUUAUUGUUCCUAGGGAUGGAAAGAAUUUGAGUUUCCCGUAAACAUCAAACUACUCCUUUUAUUUUAAUUUGAACUUCUUUAAUUUUAUUCUUUAGUGAAAAAGAGAAAGCUAUUUUUUAUAAAUAUUGAACUUCUCUAUUUUUAUAAUUUGGACUUCAUGGUUUAUUUGAAAUACUUUCUUUUUCCAUUUGAACAUCUAAAUACACGGUGAACCUCUUUCAAAAGAAUUUUUGAACUUUCCCGGACCGAGCACUUGAACUUCUACCAACAAAACUUUUAGACUUUGCCCUUUUAUUGUAUUUUUCUAAUACGAAACACACACCAUGUAGUACGUGAACUUCUGACAGUUAUCGCUUUGGAUUUCUCUUUUGUUUCUCGUUAGCAAUUGAAAAAAUCUGAGAUUUUAUAGACAUCGGUCCGCUCUAACUUUUCACAAAACAAAAUUAUAGUUUUUUCCGCUUUCUAUGAUUUAAUUUUUUGUCUCGGGACAUUUUUAGGCAUUUUUUUGUUGUCAGUGAAAUGGCCUAGACGAACCUUUUUUUCAUUGAUGAUUUCCUUCAGUAUAUGGUACACGUGAACUUGUGAAUUUCUAAAACAUGAACUUCACAUUUAUAUCUAAAACAUGAAUUUCUAAAACAUAAUGGUUUAGCUUUUUAGAAAUAUACUUCGGGGCGUAUAUAAUCGUCAGUGUUGAAUUAUUUUGAAUACAAGCUCAAAUUAUUUUAAACUUCUUGGUUGUCCUUUUAGAAAGAUGGAUAACUAUUUUGAACUCCGUCGCUCGUUAUUUAAGUUUAACCUUUCAGAAUUAUUUUAUUUAGUAACGAUGAAACUCUUUUUUGAUAAACUUUUUUGAACUUCUCUAUUUUCAUUUUAACCUUCUUGGUUUUGUAAUACAUAUUGAACUUCUUCGUUUUUAAAAUUUGAACUUCUAGUUUUUAUUAUAAAUAGAUUCAACAUAUUACUUUUAUUCCUUUUUUGGAUAAGAGAAACAAAAAUUGUAUUGUACAGUGAGAAGUUCAUUUUUUUGCAGUGUGAAAAGUGGCAUUUUGUUGUAAAUUUGUUGUUGUUUUAUUUCUAUCUUUUUUUACAAAAUGAACAAUGCAUGUUUCGCUGGGAGAAAUGCACAAACAUUGAAUGUAUAAGGGAAAUUACUACAUGCUUAUGCAGGUGCAGAAAUCUGAAUUAUUUAGAGAAGGGAGAAACUCUGAAUUUGUAGCUCGAUAGAACCUGAACUUCUGCUUUCUUUGUGAUUUGGGAAUCUGGGUAAGUUAAUAUCAUUAAGGAGCAGCAACGGAAUAGUAUAUGUUUGUGUACAGAUCCAAGAGCAUAGCUUUCACAAAACUUGUAUGAAGAUUAUCUCCAAAGAAGCAGGGACCAGGGGACUAGUCGGUCGCAGGAGAUGCAUCAAUUGCAGAGUUGAAGCACGUAAAUGGAAAAAAAUCUAAGAAGUCCAAGUAUUGUUACAACAAGAGCACUACCCGAUGCAGUUGGAAUGGCUGCACACGCACGACGAUCUGGCCCCGAUCCAAAGGGAGUGGCCUUGAAAGAGGAGGCACACAACAGUGGGUACCAGAUCUCUCCAAUCCACACGGGCCACGAGGAUGAAUGAUGAGCUGACCACACAAAAGUAAAACUGAAAAAAAGUGUCCAUGGAUCCGGUACAUACAAUCUCCUAUGAGCUUUGAAUCUGAAGCAGGUCGGCAGGGUUACUGACCGUUGCGAGUGAGAGAGACCAUGGAUGGAUCCUCCAAAAGAGAAGAAUCCUGCAGUGCUCACCAUUUUGUUUACUGUCAGCUGCUGGUAGAUCCUGUCGGUGAGGCGACGAGGUCUCACCGGCGCUAAUUAAUCUUGAAACCCAUGCCGGUGAUCUUAAGUCUGCAUGAGUAUAUAAUUAGCGCCAGUGGGGAGAUAAAAGUUCAAGUACGCGUAAGCUAGCUUUGCUCCCCGCAGGGUGAACGCAUGGGGGAUCACGCGGAGGUGAAUGGAGGCCCGACAUGUGGCCUUGGACAGCCGAAUCAGAUAGAUACAAGGGCGGCGCUGGCGGGAGGUCCAUCCAACCACCACACGUAGGUGGCCUUGGACUGAGGUGAAGCAUCAAUGACGGAUCUGGCCCCAGCUCUGGCCGGUGAACUUCGUGCCGCGGCCCAAUCGACCUGCAGGAGCAUGGUGGGGAGACGUGCAUGGGAUCUCUCCCCGAUGGUGAUCCAGGGCGGCGCCGGCGCAGGUGUUCAGCAGCGGAUGGUUGGCCGGGCCUCGCUCGUCAGAAUUUCGGAGAUGGCAAUGGAUCCAAGAGGAAGGGCAGGAAGCGGUAGGAAGCGGGGUAAAGAGGAGGUGCUGGGGUGGGCGUCGACGGUGGGAGGCAUGCCGGAGCCGGAUGGGCGGUGGCCGGAGGUGGGCGGGCGGUUUGGUAGGGAGGAUUCGGGAGGCGACGCGGGAGGUGGGCGACGGGGGAUGGGGGAUGGGUGUUUUUUUCUUCGUUUGAAUGCUCCGAUCUCAGGAACACCUCAUCGCCCCUAUAUAUAGAGCGUUGUGAUCCAAAUAACUAUAUUACUAAUUACUUAGUUUUCUAUGCAUUUAAUGUAGUCCAUAAUUCAAAUUUGAACUACAACCACAUGCUCCAGUGAAGCAAAAUGGGUGGGAAAUCGUACAUGUGUCAUUGGGUGCAUGUUUAGGUCUCGUUUAAGGAAUGAGAAUGAAUUACAAACUUGUCGUCAUCCUGAAACAUUGAGAAUCUUAGUUUUUAAAUCCCAGUAAAUCAAAAAGUCACCCAAAAAACAAGAAACUUGGCAUGGUUUCAUGACAUGGCACAUAUAUGCCGUGGUAAAAAAUCAUCCAGUUUGAGAAGAGGCACACACAUUAGUAGCUAAUGAAGUCCUUUUUGAAACAAAAAGCUGACACGUUAAUAUCGCAAAUGAUUGUAUUACAUUUACCAUGUCGAAAUUUAACCAUACCCGGUGGCGUGCGUGCAGCUAUUUGAUUAGACGGGACGGGCGCGAGAAGUCCGCCGUGCAGGCUCGACAGGAUGCACGCGAGCAGUCCGCCGUGUCGUGGUACUAAGUUUGACAAUAGAAUGGGGGGUAGAUAUGAGGAGGAAAGAUCCUAGCGACGGUGAAGUUGUGCACGCAAGAUUUAUGAGUUCAGGCCCUUCCCAGAUGAAGUAACAGCCCAACGUCUCGGUCCCCAGAGGCUUGGUCGAUUGGAUUAUGCGUGAAGUUACAUAGGGUGCGAACCCUUGUCCCAGAGGAGGGGGGGUGGCUUAUAUCGAGUGCGCCAGGACCCCAGCCAUCCCCCGUUACACAAGGUUCAAUGUACAUAAAGAGAGGACGCGACUGGUAACGCCAACAUUAAAGUGAUAUAAAUGACCCUUAAGUCUACUGAGUGAAUGUCCGACCAUUGCCAUCCAAAGUAACCAUAGAUAUUCUGUACUCUGAGUGGUUCCUGAUGGUUGAAUGAUUAUAUCCUGGUCGAAUGGAAUUGAUUUAUCCGAGUGGAACUCAUGGUCGAGUGUGUUGCAUCUUGAGGUGAUUCCAGUCGGUAUAGUUUGCUGUCCUUUGAAUGUCUUUGACUAUAGGGCAGUGCCCUUGGGAAGGGUACUUAGAUCAGGUAUAUUGCCCUACCCCAGGUACAUGUCAUCGUCAUUAGCCCCCGAAUGGUUCUGGAUCCGAGCGGAGAUGGAGUUGAAGAUGGUUUCGACCCAAUCUUUGCGCCGCGGAAGCAUUUUACUUAGUUUGGAGAACCAUGCAACAACUUCGACUUCAUUUUUAGUUGCCUUGAGCCAUUCAGAGAUUAUUGAGUGAAUUUUGCUGAUAAGCUUCGACUGUUGAUACUGCAUAAAAUCUCCGGCGUGAUUGACUGCUCUGCCGUUUCCGGAUCUCACGGGAUUCGAAAUUUGGGGAAGCGCAUGGGGCGGAGAGGGCCAUAGUAAUCAGAGCGGAUUAGGCAAGGUGCCUCGAUCCUUGCGCCACCUUUUUCAUCACGUACUGCGCACGUGACUAUUAUGGGAUUUGACAGGAUCGCCUAGACCCACAAGUCAGCCACUCAGGGAGCCAACCCAUAUAAGGCGUUCGGGCCAGGGCCUUUGCACUAUGCGCCCCAUUUCCCUCUUCUUCCUCUGCUUCUCCACCGCAUCUGCUCUGCUCUUAGUGCCGCCACCCAGUCCAAGCUCAAUCGGCCGCAAUGGGGAAGGAUAGGAUGGUGACUCUGGAGCGCGUGAAGGGGGUGACAACCAAGGCGAAGGGGAAGAAGACAAGCCGGGCAGGGUCGUCAUCGAGAAUUGGCCUGCCGCCCGGCUGGAUCCAGGGCGACUGGAUCUGGUCGAUGAUCCAGUGAGAAGACAUGGAGGAUUUGAUGGACGGGGGCUUGAUUCCCCACAAAUCUUGGCGGCUUCUGGAGGACGAGACCGAGCCGUGACCGCAAGAGGGUGAGUGCGUCCUUCUUGCGACCCAUGUCGACCGCAGCUUCUCUUUGCCUCCCCACCCCUUCUUCCGGGGUUUCCUGAACUUUGUUGGAGCCCAACUUCAUCACUUUUCUCCCAACAACAUAACAUACCUUGCCGUAUACGUGUCCAUGUGUGAGAAAUUUCUGGGUUGGCGACCGCACUGGGCCUCUUCAAACACAUUUUCACCUGUCAUUCUCAGUCGGUAAAAAAGGCCAAUCCGAGUGAUGAGAGGACACACGUGAUCCAGAUGUGGAGAGGUCCAGGGAUCCAGAUGAGAAAUAAAAGCACUUUCCCCGCCAUGAUUUUUCCCGAGUCAGUCAGGGGGUGGCAAUCGACUUGGUUCUAUUGUAAGGACCAACCGACCCCAGGCCAGUCGACUGGCCUUCCCCCGUUUUCCAUAGAAUGAGUAGAGAAGCCUUCUCCUUUGAGAGUGACUCCGGCUGAAAAUGCAGAGGUGAAUAUGUUGGUUGAGCGAGUGGUCCAACUUGUCCGCGAUGGGGUGACUGGCAUGGACUUGCUAGAAGUUUUUCUCAGUCGACGCAUCCAGCCACUCCAAGCCCGUGAUCAUCCAAUGUGGAUGUACUCGGGUGUUGAAGACAGUACUCGGAUCCACCUAGAGGAUGUCGAUGAGGGGACAGUGGCGCAGUGGCUGCAAGGUAUUACUGGCAACAAAGACAACCCCGAGGGGUCUAGGAGGGUUCCUCCACUCGAAAACACCAUCGAACCUGACAAGGUCUUAUUCUUUCCUCCCAAGUGUAUCUUGCUCUAAUAUGUGUUUGGUCUUGAAACUGAUUGAUAUCCACUCAACCCCGUGUAUUGUAGAUCUACACUGAGAUGCACUCGAUGCCGAACGGAGAGCAGGAGGAUGAGGGAGAGGCGAGUGGAGGGGACAAUGGUGAGUGGCAUUCUGACAAGGGGAGACGAGGAGAGCGAGGACUUGAGCAGUGGUGAGGAGGUCGACUCCCCUCCUCGCAUGGAAAGACGCUCCAAGCAGAGGCAGGACCCGGCCAGUGUCCAUGGCAAAGCGACACCGUCGACUGAACAGACUUCCAAGCGCACAAGGACAUCUUCUCCUGCGCCGACUGAGAAAGCCCCGAAGCAACUCAAAGUCAUGCCGCCAAAACCCCGGAAGGACUUGCCCAAGAUCAAAGUGGACAUCUCUAUCGCUUCUGGGUAAUCACUGAGCUCGACCUCUUAUUUUUAGCGUGACCCGUUCUUUGGUCGAUUCACUUUCCUAUUUUAACCGAGUAAAUUCUGAAAUUUGCAGUGCUGCCGCUGGGACUUCAAUGUACCAAGAUGAUGAAGACGAGGAGAUGGAGGAUGCAGUCACCUCCCACGCGGGUAUAACUUUGGUAAUUUGGUCUUUACUUUAUUAGCCAUUUUGAUGGUUGACUGAACUCAUAUAACUGAUUGCUUUGCAGCUCCACCAAAUGUCAUUGAACUUCCAGAUGAUGACGAAGAUGUGGCACAGAGAGUCAUGGGGAGGAGGGGUAGGACUUAGAGAAAGAAGGCACCAGCUGGCGAGACGUCCCAGUAAACGCCGGUGAUGGAACCAGUGGUUCAGCAGUCCAGAGACGUGAACCAUGCUUCUGUUACUUUUCCUAUUCCAGUGUCAGCUGAACGCCCUUCCUCGUCGACUGCACAAGUCCCUGAUUCAUCUGUCCAGCACCACACCUCGGAUCCUCAAGCUGCCGUGACUGGACCCACGUCUCCACUGGUCAUCACCCAUCACGUCCCGGAAGACCAAGUAGGCGCUGCUUCAGAAGCAAUACGCCAAGCAGGCUUGAUGAUGGAGCGGAUGAAGACAAUGCACGAGACCAGCCAAGCCACCUAUGAUGCCAGUGCAGCCCUCCAAGCUAAUGUCCAGGUUAGUUGGUUUCCGACUGUUCUCCUAUCUUGACGCUUGUUCUGUUAGGAUAUGCUACCCGAAAAACUUGCAUUGUGCAUCCAUCUGUCAGUCUGUUCUUCACAUCUAUAUGCAUGCUGGGUGUUUCAAUUUAUGGUGAGUAGUCUUUCCAGUUGAGUCGACUAGGUUAUGUCAAUUGCAACUUUGGACUAGUGGGGGCACGCAGAGUGCACCCACUGGGUGUAGUCCCCGAGGCCGCUGUCGAAUGUAUGAUUUGGCAGGGGUCUUGAUGAAAAUAUCUUGUUGUUCAGUUCUUCCACUCGGUCUGGGCGGACCAUGUCAAGUGGAACCUGAACUAGUGGGGGCACGCUGAGUGCACCAACUGGGUGUAGUCCUCGAGACCGCGGUCGACUGCAGGCAGUCGGUUUGGGUCUGAGAAUAACUGUUGCCUCUUUUUUUACUCGGUUUGGGCGGACCAUGUCGAGUGGAACCUGGACCAGUGGGGGCACGCUAAGUGCACCCAGUGGGUGUAGUCCUCGGUACUACUGUUGAAUGUUUGAUUCUGCAGUAGUCUUAGAGUUCUUUUCACUCGGAAGCGAAUAAUCUUCGAUUCUGUCCGCUGAUGCAUCUUUUACUGACUUUAGAAAUCUUGUGAGCUCAUCUCCAAGUUUUCUGAAUUCAAGGAGAAGCAGAGACAGCUCAACCUUGAUCUGGAGUUGGCCAAGCAGAACUUGCAGAAGGCCAAAGACGAAACAGCUGGUAUGGAAGGUAACAACUUGUCGACUAUGUAAUUGGAUUGUUUCUCUAGUCGUCUCCUCAUUCUUCUCUCUGAACCGAGUGCUUGUUUGUUGUAUAUAUAUAUUUUUAGAGAAAAUGAGGCAGGCUCUGGCACAGAAGGAUCUUGAUCUUGCCGCAGCGCAGAAGGAGGCUCAGGAGAAAGCAACACUCGCCGAUAAGAAGCUAGCUUCAGUCGGGGCGCUCGAGGAAGACAACGCCAAUUUGAAGACAUCUCUUGCCAAGGCCAAUCGAUAAGUGACCCGUCUGAAGAAAGACAAGGUAGCUUUGAAUGAUAAGAUUGAAGGCAUUUCUCACAAGAGAAGUGACAUAGAGGGCUAUCUGGGAGCACUCACCAAGAAGAUAUUCCUUAUGCUUGAAGGUAUCUUUCCUUGUCCGACUGUUUUGCUGUCGUCGAGUCACCAUAAAUCGGCCGACUCAUUAUCUCUUUAUGGUUGCAGAAUUCUGUCAAAACAUUAAGGAAGAAACUGGGAGAAUCGAGACAAGCUUGGACCCCAUCAAUUCUCCUGUCAAUGAUGAAGCUGCUAUGAAUGUGCACCGACUGGAGUCCUGUCUUGCCAGCAUUACAGACUACCUCGCUCGCCUGAAGGUUGCGGUGUCGCGGAUCGACAUGGUGCUUUGGCCGAAGGAGACGCUCCAAAAUGACCUCGAAUCCUUGAUGACUCGACUCAAUGAGAUCCCUAGUCGAGUGUAGGAAUGGAAGAAGUCAUCUGCUCGAUGCGGUGCUGACGUAGUUCUGUCACUUGUUCAAGUCCAUUGUAAGGAGGCUAAGGAAGAAAAGCUAGCAGCGAUCAAGGUUGCCAACACAAAGAGACUCGACUUCCAGUCUUUCAUGGAGACCUUCAUUGCUGCCGCUACUCGAAUUGCAGAUGGAAUCAACCUAGAUGAGUUCGUUGAGCCUGCCAGUCCCCCUCCUGCGGAGUGAACAAACUUUUUAUGAUCUUAUUAAAUUUGCCUCGGUAUGCCGAGUGGUUUUGUAACCGUUAAAACUCCUUCGGGCCGGAUGCACGAGUACUUUAAUCUGCUAUCUGGAACCUCGUAGGAUUUAUCUAAACUUUGUUGGUUUUGAAUCUCUUGGCUCUGAGUGGAAUUUGAUUCUUCAGUCUGAAUUGCUACUGACUCUGUGGUGCAGCUCAGUAGAGUGGAUCAUGAACAAGGGCACUCGGUACUGUCCAUGACCUGCACCUUGUCGUCCUUGCGGAUUAGGAUGGAAUAGACAUUGUAUUUCUGCCGCAGCUCUGAGGAUAAGGUCGCAGUUGACCUGCACCUCGUCGUCCUUGUGGAUCAGGAUGGAGCGGACAUUGUAUUUGUGCCGCAUCUCUGAGCGUGUUUUUAAACUUAGGCGAGUGCGGGACUGCAGCUAAGCCUCCGAGUGGGAGGAUUUCUCUCCACUCGGUAGUUUUUUUUAAAACUUAGACGAGUGCGGGACUGUAGCUAAUCCCCCGAGUGGGAGGAUUGCUCUCCACUCGGUAGGAUAUUUUUAAACUUAGACAAGUACAGGACUGCAGCUAAGCCCCCGAGUGGGAGGAUUGCUCUCCACUCGGUAGGAUUUUUUCAAACUUAGGCGAGUGCGGGACUACAGCUAAGCCCCCGAGUGGGAGGAUUGCUCUCCACUCAGUAGGAUUUUUUAAACUUAGGCGAAUCGGAUUCGCAGCUAAGCCCCCGAGUGAGAGGCUUGCUCUCCACUCGGUAGGAUUUUUGAAACUUAGGCGAAUCGGAUUCGUAGCUAAGUCAUCCACUGGGGGAUUUCGGACAGAUGUAAAAGUAAUAACAAUCAUCUAGGAGAUUGUAAAACCACGUUGUCGGUGUCAAAACCGGCGGAUCUCGGGUAGGGGGUCCUGAACUGUGCGUCUAAGGCGGAUGGUAACAGGAGGCAGGGGACACGAUGUUUACCCAGGUUUGGGCCCUCUUGAUGGAGGUAAUACCCUACGUCCUGCUUGAUUGUUCUUGAUGAUAUGAGUAUUACAAGAGUUGAUGUACCACGAGAUCGUAGAGGCUAAACCCUAGAAGCUAGCCUAUGGUAUGAUUGUAUGUUGUCCUACGGACUAAACCCUCCGGUUUAUAUAGACACCGGAGGGGGCUAGGGUUACACAGAGUCGGUUACAAGGGAGGAGAUCUACAUAUCCGUAUUUCCUAGCUUGCCUUCCAUGCCAAGGAGAGUCCCAUCCGGACACGGGAUGAAGUCUUCAAUCUUGUAUCUUCAUCGUCUAAUAGUCCGGCUGUCCGGAGACCCCCUAAUCCAGGACUCCCUCAGUAGCCCCUGAACCAGGAUUCAAUGACGAUGAGUCCGGUGCGCAGUAUUGUCUUCGGCAUUGCAAGGCGGGUUCCUCCUCCGAAUACUCCAUGGAAGAUUUUGAACACAAGGAUAGUGUCCGGUUCUGCAAAACAAGUUCCACAUACCACCGCAGAGAGAAUAAUAUUUCCACAAAUCUAAUCUGCUGACACGUUUUGACUACAUGACAUCACGCCAUGGCCCGGUCAUUAUUUGAACCGUUUUUCUCAAAUAGCACCGCACAUAUCGCGAGGCGGUUUUCUUGACAUGUCUUGUCAAAGAAGAGAUCGUGUUCCCCUCAUUAUGGGAUUCUCAUCGAUACGGACGUGGGUAACCCAACUGCGCCAUCAAUUACGGCUCUUGGGGAAUAAGCGCUUUUACCAGGCAAGUGGGGAGGCGCAUUGCCUCCUCCGCCCUUAUAAAGGGACGAAGAUUCACUCUUUUCACCCAUGCCUUCUUCCUCCUUGCUUACCCAUUCCCGCACACUCGAGCUCUAGCGCCCAAGCUCACGUUCUUCUUCUCAAACCACUCCAAGCAUGCCCGGAGCAGGAGGCAAGUGGAUGGUCGAAGGAGAACAUCAAAAAGUUACGGGAAGCCGGAUAUCUAGCCACGGAUAUCGCGCACCGACUGCCAGAUGCGGAGCAGAUCAUCCCAACGCCCGAACCCCAUGAGAGGGUAGUUUUUCUUACCCACUUUGUCCGUGGAUUGGGAUUUCCCUCCACCCAUUUGUCCGCGGGCUCAUGUUCUACUACGGGCUGGAUUUUCAUGAUCUGGCCCCCAAUUUCAUCCUCAACAUCUCGGGGUUUAUCGUCGUGUGCAAGGCCUUCCUCCGCAUCAAGCCCCAUUUCAGCCUGUGGCUGAGGACCUUCAAUGUCAAACCGAAGGUAGUGGUCGAACAGCAAGCAGAGUGCGGAGGCGCCAUGGUGGCAAGGUGCCUAACGUCACUUGGCUUGAAGGCUCCUAUGUGGAGACCAUAAAGGGGUGGCAAUCGGGGUGGUUCUACAUCACCGAACCACGCGACACCAACUGGGUGGCGGCCACCGAAUUCCGAUCCGGAAUCCCCACACGGCUCACCUCCUGGAAAGAGAAGGGCCUGUCCUGGGGUUCCUCGGUAGAGCUGAACGGACUCUAGACCUGCAUCAAGAACAUGAUGAGCAAGAAAAUUAAGCUUGUCAACGUGGUCCAGGUCAUGCUCUUCCGUCGGAUUCUCCCGUGUCAACAAUGGGUAUUCAACUUGUGGGAGUUUGACCCGGCCAAGCACCAGACGCUACGAGAGCUCUAUGGCAUGACGCAUGAGGACGUCUGGAGGGUCCUGUUUAAGGGCGCCGAGGUACCUCCUUCCCUCACCGAGGACCGCGGACUCAGCGCAAAGCGCCGCGCCAAUCCGGUGAGUUUUUAUAUUUCACAGGGUAUCUAUUUGCCCCAGUUUAAUCAUGUGCGUGAUCUAAGCCUUCCAUGCCUUUAACAGGACUGGGUGAAGACAGCGGAGCAGAUCGAUUGCCCCGCCCCCCUGUUGGAAGAUCCUGCAGAUGCUCUCCUGACAGAGAUGCUGGUUCCAGCACCUUACGAGGUGCCGGUGAAGAAGGCCAAGAAGAAGGCCGCGGGGACCCGAAAGGGUCUCCAGCGCAAGGAUGUAUCGGACUCAUCGUCCGAUAACUCUGACGCGCCCUCCUCCCACGAAAACGAGGAGGAAGAGGAAAGUUCUCUCCCCCCUAGCCGGGGGAGACAAGAAAAGGAAGGCCGGCCCAACUGGGGAGGCCGAAGGGUCCAAGAAGGGCAAGACCCUCCCUCCGGACUGCUCCACGACGGCCGUGUACAACGACGACGAGUGGCUACCCAGGGUCAAGCCCGUGGAGAAGUUGUAAGUAUCUAGACACCAUAGUAAUUCAUGGUAUGUUUUACUGCACUGCUUCUUCUCAUGCCGAAUAUGAUUAUGCAGUCCGUCCCGAGCUCAUCUUGAUGUAACUUCAUCGAGCGGUUCGUUGGACUCGUUGGAUAUGAACAACAAUUCUCUUCCGACCACCUCAACUCCUUGCCCUGCGGACAACAUGGAGGUGUUGUCUCAACAGGCCGGUCCAAGGGGAGGCAGUCCUGGGGGUGCCUCGAGGCGACCUUCCAGACCCUGGGCGCAAAGGGAUCCGGACUCCCAUGGGCUCCAGGUUCGGCCCCCAGCCGAACACUGCACCGGAAUGUUCGGUGGUUCCGGACUCUGGCGGGCGACCCCCCGUUAAGGGGGGCAAGCCGCCUGUGCCGGUGUCCUCUGUCUAUCCAGAGGCACCGGACAGCUUGCUGGAAGCGCUUCGCGGCGCUUCCAUCGACGAAGAGCACCGUACUAUCAUGAGUGCGGUGAUCGAGAAAGUUCGGUCCGCCAAAAACGGACUGACUAAAGCUUGCGCCAGCCUCCUAACAGGCUUCGAGGUAAGCAAUCAAAAUAUAAGAAAAUAUUACCGCAUAGAUAGUAGCCCCUGAUGCUCUGUUCGGCGUUCGAGUAGAAAGACCGAAUAGAGGAUCAAAUGAUGACUCAGGAGUCUAAUCAGAAUAUAUCUAUGUGUAUGUGCAGGCUUCACUGCUGGCCAAUGCUGCACGUAUUGCGGAGGUCUCUGUGCUGAAGCAGGACCUGGAGCGGUCCGAGAACGAGCUUGGCCUUACCAAGAGGCAUCUCGAGGAUAUAAAAUAAAAGAAAUUUGGGUGUAAAGUAAUAGGAUCAUCAUGAAUUUUCCAGGGCCACGACCGAAGUGGCAACCCUAAGGAAGGUGCUCUCCGAGGCCAAAGACAAAGCGGCAAGGAGCGCAUUGAACGAGAGAAGCAUGAAGCCCGGGUAGGCGAGGUGCAGCAAGAGCUCGAGGCUCUCGCCAAAAAGCAUGAGUCCUUGGAGCUUGACUCUAAGACACGAGAGUCCGAGCUCGUGCAGGCGCUUGAAAGCGUCCGGAGCGCCAAGGCCGAAGCACAUAAGGCCCUCUAGGAGAUUGAUGUGGUGAAGAAGAUAGCAGCGGGUAAGGCAUUCAUUAUGCAAAGCAAGCACGUGAAGGGGACUUUCCUUUUUCUUACCCGAAUUCGGAGCUCUCCAGGAGCGUUUGCAAAUCUUCCCCGCAGUGUACUCGAUGCCGCGGAGUUUUACUGAGCUGGGGAGGGGAGCUCGACGGAGAAGUUGUUCUGGUCUCAGUAUACUAGGACCGAACACCCCGUGCCCUUGAGCGACCAGCUGAAGCAGUUGGUCGAGCUUCACAAGGCGGCCGAACAAGCCAUGAGGGGCUUUAUAGUCCGGAUGUGGCCUGGUGAGCCCCUGUCCGGCAGCUACUUCGGUCUGGUAAGGUGGCUCGUCGAUGCCUACCCAUGGCUUGAAGUCAUAAAGCGGUCCGUUUGCAUCGAGGGUGCGCGCAGGGCUUUUGCCCGGGCAAAGGUGCACUGGGUGAAGCUGGACGCCGUGAAGCUAGUGAAGGAGGGGCCGCCGGAGGGCAAGGAGCAUCGCUGCCCCGAGAUGUACUAUGAGAGUGUCCUGAAGGGUCCCCGCCUUGUGGCGGAUGACUGUGCCAAGGAUGUAAUUUUUGAAUGAACAUGCUCAUGUGAUCCUGUAAUAUGAAACGAGUUCAUUUGCGCCAUGCGACGCUUUUUUAAUUUAAAAUAUUACCUUAUGUGCGUCCGUUUGUAAAAUCUGAGAGUUGGCCAGUCGCCGGCUUCUGCCCCAAUGUAACUAGUACUGGGGUGUUCGGGAUAAACCUGAGCACUCUUUACCCCGAUUUUGGAUCCUUCAAGGGAGGUGUUCAGCGCCACGAACUAGGGAAUCAGACUGUAAUGCUUUAUCACUCUCACUUAGCCAUAGAAGUCUACAAUUUUAAAUUUUGGCGAAGCCCCUGGUAUUUGGAAGGCCGAAUUUGGGGCGCUAUACAUGUCUAAGCCGGGCAAGGCCGACUCCUCGCCCGAAGCGGAAAAAGUCUUUAAGGACUUGAGACCUCUCGAACAGCAACAAGUCUCUCGCCUUAUCAUGACUGUCAGUUUUCGGCUUUCUCUACUGAGGUGCUCGUCCGGAAGAAUCGGGACACAAUCGCAGUAGUUCUCCCACCGCUACCUUAGCUGAUAUAGCGGAACAUAAGGUACCAAAGCAUGGGAGCCGGGCAAACCCAACAUUUGACCAAAGACAUGAUUCCGAGCUGAUCCAUAUAAUGCUAUAAGUUCGGGGUGUCGCACUGUCAAAAGUGUUCGGACUUCUUGCGCCGUAUUAUGGGGUAAACGAAAGCCCCUGGCAUACUGACUGUACCGAACGUGCGGGUGCAGAUUGUCGUAAAUGGACAUAAAGAAAAAAUGGAAUGAAUAAUGCAAUAAUAGACUAAUGCUAUGCAUUGUUAUUAAAUAAUACGUCGAAGUGUACUGGUAUAGGUAGUGCAAUAAGCAUAAAGUAGGACUAUUCAAAAUAUCCUAUCCAAGGGCAAGCUGCGUAUGGAUAGUAGAAAGCGGGUAUUAUUAUUAGAGACCACCUGGGGGUUCCCGUGUACUUCUUAGCUUCUUGCCGCCUUGGUUGUUCCUUCCCGUAAUGUGUCCAGCAAUCAUACUGCCGGAAAGGGCUUCCAAAGAGUUAGGCCUUGAAAUAGAAAAGAAGUAAUAAAGGUAUACAGCCCCUAGUGCGGUUAAGCCGCAUUAUGGGACGUGCCUUGAUCGUGCCCCUGCCUAUGUCCAUGGUAUUUUUAGUGCGUAAUCAUGUAUGUGCGGCACGGAUUUCGUCGCUUGACUGGUACUGGGACAGGGGCCGAAUUGCUAGGCGAGCUCUGAACGUGCCAGGCGAUCCUGUUGCAGUUUACUCCGGACACGCUUGAAGGUGUUUGGGGGCUGUAUCGCCCAAUUAGUGGUUUUCCUUAAAAGGCUGCUUUGUGCUUCUGCUGCGAGGGCCGCAGUGUGCUCAUCCGUGCGGAGUGAGCGUUCUGUUUUUCCAUUCACUGUUAUGACCCCUCGAGGUCCUGGCAUCUUGAGCUUGAGGUAUGCGUAAUGCGGUACUGCAUUGAAUUUUGCAAAUGCAGUUCGUCCGAGCAGUGCAUGAUAGCCACUGCGAAACGGGACAAUGUCGAAGAUUAACUCCUCGCUUCGGAAGUUGUCCGGUGAUCCGAAGACUACUUCCAGUGUGAUUGAGCCCGUGCAAUGGGCCUCUACACCUGGGAUGACGCCCUUAAAGGUGGUUUUGGUGGGUUUGAUCCUCAAGGGAUCGAUACCCUUUUUUCGCACUAUAUCCUGAUAGAGCAGGUUCAGGCUGCUGCCGCCGUCCAUAAGGACUCGAGUGAGAUGAAAUCCAUCGAUGAUGUGGUCUAGGACCAGUGCAGCGGAUCCGCCAUGACGGAUGCUAGUGGGGUGAUCCCUGUGAUCAAAGGUGAUCGGGCAAGAGGACCAUGGGUUGAACUUUGGGGUGACGGGCUCCAUCGCAUAGACGUCCCUUAGUGGACGCUUCUGCUCCCUCUUGGGAAUGUGGGUUGCGUAUAUCAUGUUCACCAUCUUCACUUGUGGGGGGAACCAUUUCUGUCCUCCCGUGUUCGGCGGCCGGGGCUCUUCCUCGUCAUCACUAUGCAGCCCCUUGUCCUUGUUCUCGACAUUUAACUUGCCGGCCUGCUUGAACACCCAGCAUUCUCUGUUGGUGUGAUUGGCUGGCUUGUCGGGGGUGCCGUGGAUUUGACACGAGCGAUCCAGUAUGCGAUCCAAACUGGAUGGAGCCGGAGUACUUCUUUUAAAUGGCUUUUUCCGCUGACCAAAUCUAGAGCCUAUGAAUCCGGCAUUGACUGCCGUAUCCUCAGUGUUAUCGCCGUUAUUGCAACGCUUUGGUCUGUUACAAUGUUGUUUGCCGUUGGCAUCUUUGGUAUCCGAAGUGCCCGGAUUCCUCGAUGUGUUAUUACUACGAGCCAGCCAGCUAUCCUCGCCCGCGUAGAAGCGUGUCAUGAGUGUCGUGAGGGCUGCCAUAGACUUCGGCUUCUCUUGGCCAAGGUGCCGGGCAAGCCACUCAUCGUAGAUGUUAUGCUUGAAUGCCGCUAAGGCCUCUGCAUCCGGACAGUCGACAAUUUGGUUUUUCUUAGUCAGGAAUCGUGUCCAGAAUUGUCUGGCUGAUUCCCUUGGCUGCUGAGUUAUAUGGCUGAAGUCACCAGCAUCCGGUGGUCGCACAUAAGUGCCCUGGAUGUUGUCAAGGAAUGCGUCUUCCAGAUCCUCCCAACUGUCGACGGAGUCUGCUAGCAAGCUAUUUAGCCAAUGCCGAGCUGGUCCUUUGAGUUUUAGUGGGAGGUAUUUGAUGGCAUGUAGAUCGACACCGCGAGCCAUGUGGAUGUGAAGGAGGAAAUCCUCAAUCCAUACAGCGGGGUCUGUUUACCAUCAUAUGAUUCGAUAUUUAUGGGUUUGAAACCCUCCGGGAAUUCAUGAUCCAUAACUUCAUGAGUGAAGCAUAGGGGGUGUGCGGCGCCUCUGUGCCAGGCUAUAUCCCGACGCAGUUCAUGUGAGUCUUGUCUGCUGUAUUCGGCCCGGCCGGAUUUGCUUUUGGUGUAUCCGACACGACGAUCAUCGUCCCGUGUUGGCGCGCGUGCCCGUGACCCAUAUAUUGACCUUGCAAUUUUUUCCUUACUGUCCAAUACGUAUCGCAGGUCCCCUGUGUUGCCCCGGGCCUUAGUAUUUUUGAUUGAGUGGCGGCAGGGUGCAGGCUGAACUUCAGGCUGAAAUGCCUCUCUGGCUCGACCACAUAGUGGCCGGUUAGCCGCAUUGUACUCUGGUGAAUGAGGUUUCAAUUCUUCCUCCUCGAGGUGAGGUAGCAACCUACGUUUUGGGUAACUCUUGGAGGGGCGCUCGAGUUCGUACUCCUCGGCCGCAAGGACUUCGGUCCAUCUGUUUGCUAGCAAGUCUUGAUCAGCUUGAAGCUGUUGCUGCUUUUUCUUCAGGCUAUUUGCCGUGGCCAUAAGCCGGCGCUUGAAGCGCUCUUGCGCGACGGGGUCCUCAGGCACGAUAAAUUCUUUGUCGCCGAGGCUCGCCUCGUCUUCGGAGAGAGGCAUGUAAUUGUCCUCCUCCGGUUCUCCAUCUGCUGCCUGCUCUAUGUAGGAGAUAUGCCCUAGAGGCAAUAAUAAAUGAUAUUAUUUAUCUCCGAGUUCAUAACUAUGUUUAUGUUCUAUACUAUAAAUGCUAUGGUUCUCGAGUCUGCAAUAACCACGAGGCUCGGAGGAAGACUCAUAUGCACGUGUGGAAUAAUAAACGGUAAAAUGUAUUCCUAGUCUGGCCUCUAAGACUAGCUCAAGUGUUGCAUGAUGGUUCUGUUUUCCUGAUCAUGGGCAUGUCUAUGCCAGCAACCUUGAGGGCACAAUGUUAAGAGAACAUUUGUGUUGAAUCGACCCGGAUUGAUGUUAUGCUAAGAGAUUCAUUCGUCACAAGUUAAUGGUACAUAACACAGAGAUGGUUAACGUUUGCAUGAUUCCUUAGACCGUGAGAGUAUCGAGUUUCUUCAUGCUUGCUUCAUGAACUUUGGGGUUUGUUAAACGUCAUCCGUAAAUGGGUGGCUAUUACGGCGGCUUACGAGUUCAUGGAAAAGUGUGUCAAGUAACUUGAUAGCUCAAUAUUGGGAUUUGCUCCUCCGACGAUGGAGAUAUAUUCUCGGGCCCUCUCGGUAUUACGGUAUCCAUCAUCGUCUGGCCAGACACAGUGUGAUUUGAUCACUAGGAUGCCGGAACACGGAAACUAGAAAAGAGAACAAAACGGGUAACGAGGUAACUUGCAUGGUGGACAAAUUGUUUGUCCACGGGGAUGCAAUAAAUCUCACCUCGGGUGUUUGUGACAUAUCGCGAAGCAAUAGGAAUAGCUCACUGCAACUGGAGGUUCACUCGAAUAUUUAUUCGUGUGGGUAUAGGGGUCAAUAUGGGUAUCCACGGCUCCGAUGUUGAUCAUUGAUCGGAAGGGGUUCCGGGUCAUGUCUAUACUUCACCGAACCUAUAGGGUCACACGCUUAAGGGUCAUCUAUCUGCUGAAUACUAGACAAGGAGUCUGAGAGAAAAUCACCGGAAAAGUUUCGGACAGCGGAAAAGGUUCCGCAGAGAGAGGUCAUCGGAUGAGUUCCGAUGAAACUGAAAAGUUGUUUCAGGGGAUACCAUUAAGUCAAAUUGGUUUCCGCACAUGCCUGAUAAUUCUUGGAGGGUGCCAGAAUCAUGCUGGAAGCUUUCUGGAAUUUUCCGGGAUAAUAACUGGAUAUGCUCCGGAGCUGCCAGAACCACUUCAGAUGCUUUUCGCAGAUGAAAAUCACUAAACCGGAAUUGUUUCGGAACGCGUUGAAAAUCAUUUUGGUGGGUACUGGAAAUGUUCUAAGCCCACAUAAAUAUUUUCAGUUCGAACGGACGCUGAAAAAUGUCAUCGCGAAUAGUGAAAGUACUUUUUGGGAUAUUUAUGGAAAGCCACCUUUUGGGGCUUUUCCCAAAAGGCUUCUAGAAGGACUUCGGGAUCAAGGAACCCCCUUUGGGGGGCCCCCAUGAAGGUGGGACGUUGGAGGGUGCAGCUCCUCCAUGGGGCUCCACUUGUCAUCCCUUUAUGCCUUUUAUACCCUUUGUGUGUGACAUAAAGUGGGGGCACUUUUGGUAUUUCAGAAUACCCAUCCUACCCCUUGGUUUCCCUAUAAAUAGGAGGUGAGGGGGCUGCCCAAACCUCAUCCAUUCUCACAUACAAGUGCCAUGCAAUGAUCUGGCUUGUUCUCUCCCUCCCACGAAAAGAGUUUCGUAGAGCCGUAAGGCUAUCUGGGUUCCGGCAGGAACUAGUUCUGGACAGCGAAGCCCUGCCGGAUAGAUGACACCGUAUGUGUGCAACUCUGUAGAGAGAUCGUAGUUUCAGUCUUAGUUCAUGAGUGCCUCCUGAAGGGCUGUCUGUGUGACCGUCCGAGUUUUGAAGGUCCUCCCGAAGGGCUGUCCGAGUGACCGUUCGAGUUUCGAAAGUCCUCCCGAAGGGCUGUCCGCGACACCGUCUGGGGGGGGGGGGGCUGUUCGACCGCCUCCCGGAGGGCUGUCUGAGGAGCAGAUGAGGGUAUACAUCCUCGCAGUUGGGAGGUUGUAAAUCCUAGCUGCGAGGAUCUGCACCGCCGAUCGUCAUCGACUCUACUUCCCGCUGCGCUACGAGUCGGUAACGAAAGAGAUCAAACCAUGUAUGCAGUCUCCAUAGUGGUCCUGGGCUGGUGCGUAGGUCAGAAAUUUUUGUUUUCUGCCGCGUUCCCCUACAGUGGCAUCAUGAGCCGUGCUAUGCGUAGAUGCAGGUUCCGAUCUAGAAUACAUGGAGAUGUAUGGGCAUUGCAUAAUAUAAUUAGGUAGUAGAUGAGAUCUAUUGCUGAAAAUUAUUUAUAAUGGUGACAGAUGAAUUCUGUUACCCAACGUUCUUGUUGCUUCCCUAGAAUUUGCGUUUGCUCAAUCUCAAGAUAGCAUGGUGGAAUUUGACAAAGUUCUGGCAAUCCGUGAUCCUUAUUGAUCAUGGAAGUGCUAUCAAUUCUUCGGGUUCUGCCGUAGUCAAAAGAAAGAUGAAAUUCGCAGAUGUAAGGGCAUUGCAGAUAUGAUCUGCACGGGGGUCAUGCGUAUGACGAAGUUUAGUAUGGGGCUUGAGAUUUAAUUAUCUCGUGUUUCGUACACCCCGAGAUGUUAAUCUAGCAACUUGAAUAAUCAUACUUGAUGAUAAAACGUUGGUAGCUGCGGUUUAAGUCAAAACCUUAGAAGCCACAUAAAAUAAAAUUUUUCAUAAACCGAUUAGAGGCGUCUAACUUGGUUUUGCAGGAUGUGCAUGUGAUGUGGUAUAGCAAUGCUCAUAUUCAAUUUGAUUAUGUAUGAGAUGACUAUAUGAUGUAAUUAACAUGACCUGCGUGUCAUGAUUCGGCAUGAUGGCUGGAGCCAUAUAAUUGUCACUUUAAUGACCUGCGUGUCAACCUUAAGUAAUGCACUUAUUUUAUUAGCUAUAUAGAUAGCAAUAUUAUCUGGUGCAUCAACAGGGUGGUGGCAAUCUUCGUGAAGGUGAACACCGACGCGAAUGCCGAAGAGGAAGAAAUGAAACACUUCUCCGUCAGAAAGGGCUAUACCAUAUCAUGCUAUUAUGAAUUGCCUGAGAUGUUUAUCCCUUAUGAUGCACCCUUCUUGAUUGCGCGGUAGUCGCUUUUUUAGGGUGAUCUCUCACUUAAAAUAUCAAAGUAGUUAGUGUUCACCCAAGUGUAGCACCAUCUGAAAUUCGUAUCUUUUCGGGGUGCGCCAUGUACACAUGAGCAUGAACGAAUCGAGAGGAAUGAGGCGGGUGAGGUCAGACCUCGCAGCAAGAUCACUUGGUUGUCUUUGACGUUCAGGCAGGAGAGUCCUGAGCUCGGAACACGCCCAUUGAAAGAUGAACAAGAAUCACAUAGAGAUGUGAUCGGCAAGUUGGCCUACCGAUUGAAAUUCGUGUCAUCAGUGAUGAACCCGUCAAUGGCAUCGAAUAGAAAUAUGGAUCUUGAAUCACUCUAAAUCAAUUAUGAGAGAUAUUGAUUUGAGUGGGGGCGCACUGUUGAAUUAACAUGUUUAAUUCUCAGUGCAAUUAAUUAUGAACACUGUCUAAGUGUUUCUUGCAAAAUAGUUGUAGAAUAAUGGCUUGCGUUUCCACCUUCCCUGUUAAAAUUGAAUAGCUGUUAAAUAUCUGGUUAAAACUUUAUGUUUGGUAACGUAAUGUGAGGAUUGUCCUCAAAAGUGCCGAGAAGGAUUUUGUCCUAUCGCAUGCUUUCCAUAUCCUCCCGCUAAUGCUAUGGAUCAUGUGACUCUCGUCCUUCGAUCCAAAAGCUAGAAUUGUGUUACGGUCAAGUGGAAUAUGUUUGCUUCCAUGAAACCCAAACUUCGAAAGUUGGGAUAGUUAUAUGAUAUUCAUGGAACUAAAAAUUAUUUUCAGAUACAAACAAAGCAAUGUUUGUUUGCAAGUAUUAGUAAAAGUGUUUACUAUGCAUUUGACUGUUGGGAAAGGGAUCCAGAAGAACGCCUGUCAUAUAAAGAAAGGUGAAUAAAACAACAACUUAAAGAGAAAGGAUGUGUCCAAAGGGUGUUAGUAUGACUUACACGCCUAGGAAGUCCGGGGCUAACGCCACUCUUAAGUUGGGUGCUUCUUUUGCGAGUAGGAGAAAUACUAAAAGUUAAACAAUUAGAAGUAUAAAGGCAAAAGAGAGAUGACUGGAAUAUCCAUCUCAUGUAUGAAUGUCAUACAAGUUUUUGAUGUAUAGUAGGCUGGUCAAAGAUAUAGUUCUUGGGAAUUAUGGUUAAACAUGUUAAUCACUAAUUCUUGGGUAUUGUGAUUUAAUCACAAAGAUACCCGCUCGAUUGCAUUCUGUUGCGAAUCAAUGUAAGAGCUACUAUGGCCUAAAGACUAGCCAGAAAUGAGGUUAAUGUAUACACAGGGAACAUACUAAAUGUUACUAUACCUUCCAUCGGUGUAUUGUUGUCUGUAUUUAUUUUCAUAAUUCAUAUAGAGUUUUACAAACUCUAGCCCAUUGCAUAAGGUAUCUUGCAAGAAGGUUGUUCAUAAGAGAACCUUUUAUGUUCGAUGUUAUGAAUAACACAAGGGCCAUACUUUCAUUAUGAAUGAGAUGUAUGUUAUGAAUAUUGAUAAUAAUACAAUACCUCUAGGUUUACUUUCAUAAUUCAUUUUAGAGUUUCUUACACUCCAGCCCAUUGCAUAAUGUUUAUUGCAAAAGACUUGUUCAUAAAAACAACAAUUGUUGUUAAGUAUUAUGAAUAACAUGAAGGGCCAUGCUUCCAUCCAAGAUGGGAUGUAUGUUAUGAAUAUUGAUGGUAAUAUGAUACAUCCAUAACACUGACGCUAAAUGUCGCAAGACUAAAAGAAUACCACACAAGUGUGGCACUACAUUUGGUCACAUUGGAGAAACCCGCAUGGAAAAUUCCAUUAUGAUGGAUUUUGAAGUCUUUUUGAUUUUGAAUCAUCUGACAUUUGCAACUUUCCUCCGAAAAGUGAAGUGACUGAAAUACCGUUCACAGGCCAUAAGGAAUGAGCAACAAACUUAUUGGUGAUCAUACAUUUUGAUGUGUGUAGUUAAAUAAAUGUUGUUGCAAGUAGUGGAUUUAUAUAUCUUCAGACAUGACUCAAGUAGAUAUAUGGAUAUUUGCUUGAUGAGACGUAAGUCUGGAUCUUUUGAAAUCAUUCGAAAGGUUUUCAAAAAUGAAGUAGAAGUUAUUGUAACAAGGAAAUUAUGUUUCUACAAUUUGAUUGCAGAAAGGAAUAUCUGAGUUACAAGUUUAGCGAAUGUCUGAUGAGUUGUGAAAAGAGUUUCAUAACUUACACCUUCCGGAACACCACUAUGAGUGGAAUGUCUGUGAAGAUGUAAUCAAACCAUUUAUGACAUGGUAAGGUCAAAGAUGACAUAAAUAAAUUUGCCAUUAUCCCUUUUAAAGUGAUGCUUUAGAGACUGCGGCUUUUACACUGAAAAGAGCUACAUCGGGUCUGUUGAAAUGAAGCCAUGGUAUGGUACGCCCAACCAUGUAAUAUCUUUUCUUAACAUUUGGAAUAUGGGGCUUGUGUAAAAGGUUACAAACCUAUUCUAAAUCAGACAAGUGCUACUUUGUAGGUUAUACCAAAAUGUUGGGUAUUCCUCCCUCACUAUACCGAGGCAAAUAGUUUUGCCGCGAAAUGGUGUACUUUUAAAGAGAAUGGUUCUUUCAAAAAGGUGAGUGGGAGAAUAGUGCAACUCGACGAGAUAAAUAGUAUCUUCGUCAUCAGAUCAAAGGAAAGAGACAUUGGAAGUAAUUCCAGAGUUUCCUACUGCGACUGAUAUGGAAGUCUCUACAAUAAAAUGUAUGAACUUCGGUCGAACUUGCAGCUGAACCACGUAGGCAAGGCUCGUGCAAACCUCUCAGGUGCGCAAACGAGAUAUUGUUGUUAGACAACAUUAUACCUACGAUACACAAGGAAGCGUUGAUGGGCCCUGACUCUAGAAUUGGCUAAAUGCCAAUACAACCCAAGUUAGUUUCCCUAUAAGUGAUUCAAGAUUAAAACCUUGAUACACCUUUCAGAAGACUUAGAGUCUAACGAAUAUUGAUGGAACUUAAAACUGAUACGGAUAAAAAUGUUUUAUCCAUAAAGCUCGACUUGUUGAAAUAACAAGUUCAAGAGUUGACUACGAUGAGGUUGUUUUCAUCGUAGCGAUGCUUAAAGUUGGUUCGGGUUGAACUAGCAAUUAAUACAUAUUUCAAUCAUGAGAUCUGAAACAUGGAUGACAAUAGUAUUUCCAUCUGAUGGAAAUGCAACCAAGGACUUGCAUGUGUUACAGUCCAAGGCAUUUUGUCUAUCCAGAGGAUGCUAGUAAGGGUGCAAACUUCAGAGUUCCAGCGAUGGACAGAAGAGAGCAAAAUGGAGUUGGAAUCUUCAUGCUUUGAUGAAAUGGUCAAAGGGGUUUGACUUCAUCAAUGGGUAACGAAGAUGCUUGUAAUUCUAGAAAGUAAGUGGGAGCGUAAUAAUUUUUCUAAAAACCUUGUGUGCUUGACACAUUGUUAAUUGGAAAUAAAUUUCUUGACAGGAAUUAGGACUUCAUUUGAAAAUAGUUUUUUGAUGAAGUGCUUAGGCUAAAUAGCCUCAAUAUUAGACAUAAUGAUCUAUGGAGAUAGAUUUACCUAAUAGGGCUAAGCAAUGAAUACAUAUUGACAAGGUGCUAAAACCUUUUAGCAUUUAAAACCGCCAAGGAGUGAUUCUUGCCGGAGUCACAUGGAAGAGUUUUUUGCAAGACUCGGUGUCCCAAAACACUAAUGAGCAAAAUACAUGAUGCAGAUUCCACACACUUUUGUGUUUGGAUUAAUCAUGUAUUCCAUGGUAUGUAAAACAACCAGAUAUGUCUGAUACUCCCAAGGUGUUGCGAGAAUGGAUACUAAAGUGAUCAAAGUACUGAUCGUUGGACAAUAGUGAAAGAUGUCAUUGAGUACUAGAGUAAGUACUGAUGAUAUGUUUUCUCACAAGCGGAGAUCAUGAAGAGUUCGUUGUAAAAUGUUACAUCGAAAUAGUCUUCAUCUUUUCUCCAUGCGAUUUUCGAUUUAAAUUGAGGGUUUUGUGUAACACAAUAUGGUGGUGCAGUUAGUUGGAAAUUGUUCCAAACAAGUUACUGUGGCGAAUUCUAUAACAGAGGCGGAGUAUGUUGCCGCUUUAGAAGCGACAAAGACAAAGAUGUUGAAUCAUAUAGUUCAUUCAUGAACUUAGUAUGGUUCCAAGAAGGCUUUGGUCAAUGGGACACUAUUGCAGAUAGUUGCUCCAUAACUCAGUCUGAGGAAUCAGGUUUCGACCAAUGAUUCACAUAUAUACAAAGCCAAGUCCGCACAAAAUAUGAAUUUUGUGAAAGCGUGAAAACGCGAGGAUAUGCAGAGAUACACAUGGAGCUGAAGUUGUCAGAUCCGAUGGACAUCAGGCUAUACCACAUGCGAAGCAUUUUUUACACCGGUAUGCCAUAGGUGUAAAGUGCAUUUGCAUUAACUAGAUUAUUGACUCUAGUGCAAGUGGGAGUCUGUAGGAGAUAUGCCCUAGAGGCAAUAAUAAAUGAUAUUAUUUAUCUCCGAGUUCAUAAUUAUGUUUAUGUUCUAUGCUAUAACUGCUAUGGUUCUCGAGUCUGCAAUAACCACGAGGCUCGGAGGAAGACUCAUAUGCACAUGUGGAAUAAUAAACGGUAAAAUGUAUUCCUAGUUUGGCCUCUAAGACUAGCUCAAGUGUUGCAUGAUGGUUCUGUUUUCCUGAUCAUGGGCAUGUCUAUGCCAGCAACCUUGAGGGCACAAUGUUAAGAGAACAUUUGUGUUGAAUCGACCCGGAUUGAUGUUAUGCUAAGAGAUUCAUUCGUCACAAGUUAAUGGUACAUAACACAGAGAUGGUUAACGUUUGCAUGAUUCCUUAGACCAUGAGAGUAUCGAGUUUCUUCAUUCUUGCUUCAUGAACUUUGGGGUUUGUUAAACGUCAUCCGUAAAUGGGUGGCUAUUACGGCGGCUUACGGGUUCAUGGAAAAGUGUGUCAAGUAACUUGAUAGCUCAAGAUUGGGAUUUGCUCCUCCGACGAUGGAGAGAUAUUCUCGGGCCCUCUCGGUAUUACAGUAUCCAUCAUCGUCUGGCCAGACACAGUGUGAUUUGAUCACUGGGAUGCCGGAACACGGAAAUGAGAAAAGAGAACAAAACCGGUAACGAGGUAACUUGCAUGGUGGACAAAUUGUUUGUCCAUGGGGAUGCAAUAAAUCUCACCUCGGGUGUUUGUGACAUAUCGCGAAGCAACAGGAAUAGCUCACUGCAACUGGAGGAUCACUCGAAUAUUUAUUCGUGUGUGUAUAGGGGUCAAUAUGGGUGUCCACGGCUCCGAUGUUGAUCAUUGAUCGGAAGGGGUUCUGGGUCAUGUCUAUACUUCACCGAACCUAUAGGGUCACACGCUUAAGGGUCAUCUAUCUGUUGAAUACUAGACAAGGAGUCUGAGAGAAAAUGACCGAAAAAGUUUCGGACACCGGAAAAGUUUCGGACAGCGGAAAAGGUUCCGUAGAGAGAGGUCAUCGGAUGAGUUUCGAUGAAACUAAAAAGUUGUUUCAGGGGAUACCAUUAAGUCAAAUUGGUUUCCGCACAUGCCUGAUAAUUCUUGGAGGGUUCCAGAAUCAUUCUGGAAGCUUUCUGGAAUUUUCCAGGAUAAUAACCGGAUAUGCUCCGGAGCUGCCGGAACCACUUCAGAUGCUUUUCGCAGAUGAAAAUCACUAAACCGGAAUUGUUUCGGAAUGCGUUGAAAAUCAUUUUGGUGGGUACUGGAAAUGUUCUAAGCCCACAUAAAUAUUUUCAGUUCGAACGGACGCUGAAAAAUGUCAUCGUGAAUAGUGAAAGUACUUUUUGGGAUAUUUAUGGAAAGCCACCUUUUGGGGCUUUUCCCAAAAGGCUUCUAGAAGGACAUGGGGAUUAAGGAACCCCCUUUGGGGGGCCCCCAUGAAGGUGGGACGUUGGAGGGUGCAGCUCCUCCAUGGGGCUCCACUUGUCAUCCCUUUAUGCCUUUUAUACCCUUUGUGUGUGACAUAAAGUGGGGGCACUUUUGGUAUUUCAGAAUACCCAUCCUACCCCUUGGUUUCCCUAUAAAUAGGAGGUGAGGGGGCUGCCCAAACCUCAUCCCUUCUCACAUACAAGUUCCAUGCAAUGAUCUGGCUUCUUCUCUCCCUCCCACGAAAAGAGUUUCGUAGAGCCGUAAGGCUGUCUGGGUUCCGGUAGGAACUAGUUCUGGACGGCGAAGCCCUACCGGAUAGAUGACACCGUAUGUGUGCAACUCUGUAGAGAGAUCGUAGUUUCGGUCUUAGUUCAUGAGUGCCUCCCGAAGGGCUGUCCUUGUGACCGUCCGAGUUUUGAAGGUCCUCCCGAAGGGCUGUUCGAGUGACCGUUCGAGUUUCGAAGGCCCUCCCGAAGGGCUGUCCGCGACACCGUCUGGGGGGGUGUUCGACCGCCUCCUGGAGGGCUGUCUGAGGAGCAGAUGAGGGUAUACAUCCUCGCGAUUGGGAGGUUGUAAAUCCUAGCUACGGGGAUCUGCACCGCCGAUCGUCAUCGACUCUACUUCCCGCUGCGCUACGAGUCGGUAAUGAAAAAGAUCAAACCAUGUACGCAGUCUCCAUAGUGGUCCUGGGCUGGUGCGUAGGUCGGAAAUUUUUGUUUUCUGCCGCGUUCCCCUACACUCUAGAGGGCUGGCUUGUUCAUCCUGCGGCUCUACAUCAUGCUGGAGGGGAUUGAUUGUCUUCGGCAGUAUCCGGAGUGUUAUUAUCUCCUAUGCGGGUAUUACUAAUUUUGUUGUGGCGGGACUUAGAGCAGCGCCGCUGACGUCGGUGCUUGGGUUGCUUCUUGGAGGGGUCAUCCUCUGCUGUCUCGUCGCCAUUGCUUUCCUUAGGGGUGUCCACCAUAUAUAUGUCGUAUGAUGAUGUGGCGGUCCAGCGCCCUGUGGGUGGUGGUUCCUGCUCGUCUCCUGCUCGUCAUCCAUAUUGUCGAUGUCUUUAGAGUCGAAGUCGAGCAUGUCGGUUAAAUCGUCAACAGUGGCUACUAAGUGGGUGGUGGGUGGGCAGCGAAUUUCUUCGUCGUCCGCAUCCCAUUCUAGCCGGACAUAGUUCAGCCAAGGUUCUCCUGAUAGGGAGCGGGACCUCAAUGAAUUUAGCACAUCGCUGAAGGGUGAGUGCUGAAAGAUAUCUGUGGAGGUGAACUCCAUGAUCGGCGCCCAGUCGAAUUCGACGGGCACGGGUGUAAGCGGCUCGAAGUCCGUGGCCGGAGGUGAAUCCAGUGGUUCGGCGACACGGCUCUCGUAAGGGGUGAAGUCAGUAUCCGGCUCCAUCGCCACUGAGAGUGCGGUCUCCAUGGAGGGGUCUAUCCCUCCGCUCUCGGAUGGCACGAUUUGUUCCGGAUUGACGGCCGGAGUAUCUGCAGAUGCAAUCUCCUGAACACCGUCCAACAGCAGAGUUACGUCGUGCUCAUCGUGACUGUGCGGCGCACCUGACACGGGCUCGAAUCCGUCGAAGAUCAAGUCUCCGCGGACGUUGAUAGUGUAGUUUAAGUUUCCGAAUCUGACCUGAUGGCCAGGGCGUAGCUCUCGAUCUGCUCCAGAUGGCCAAGCGAAUUGGCCCGCAGUGUGAAGCCGCCGAAUACAAAGAUCUGUCCGGGGAGGAAAACCUCACCCUGGACCGCAUCGCUACCGAUGAUCGAAGGAGCCAUCAAGCCUUAUGGUGACGACAUAGUGGAACUCUCAAUGAAAGCACCGAUGUCGGUGUCAAAACCGGCGGAUCUCGGGUAGGGGGUCCCGAACUGUGCGUCUAAGGCGGAUGGUAACAGGAGGCAGGGGACACGAUGUUUACCCAGGUUCGGGCCCUCUUGAUGGAGGUAAUACCCUACGUGCUGCUUGAUUGUUCUUGAUGAUAUGAGUAUUAGAAGAGUUGAUCUACCACGAGAUUGUAGAGGCUAAACCCUAGAAGCUAGCCUAUGGUACGAUUGUAAGUUGUCCUACGGACUAAACCCUUCGGUUUUUAGACACCGGAGGGGGCUAGAGUUACACAGAGUCAGUUACAAGGGAGGAGAUCUAUAUAUCCGUAUUGCCUAGCUUGCCUUCCACGCCAAGGAGAGUCCCAUCCGGACACAGGACGAAGUCUUCAAUCUUGUAUCUUCAUAGUACAACAGUCCGGCCAAAGGAUAUAGUCCAGCUGUCCGGAGACCCCCUAAUCCAGGACUCCCUCACAUGUCUUUGAUAAACAAACUGAAAGGUACUUCUUAUUACAUCUCGACAGUCUGAAUGCUUAAGUAUUAAAAUGGUGGAGAAGCUCCGCAUUCCAAGCGCGUGGCUCCUCUUUCUUGUGUUCCACAUCAUACAGGUGAUAUGCUCCGUUGUGGAGCACUUUGGUGAUGAUGAAGGGGCCUUCCCAGGUGGGAGCAAGCUUGUGUGGACGUUGCUGAUCCACUUGGAGAACCAGGUCCCCCUCCUGAAAUGCUCGACCUCUUACGUUCCUAGCAUGGAAUCGACGAAGGUCUUGCUGAUAGAUGGUCGACCUGCUCAGGGCCAUCUCUCUCUCUUCUUCUAAAAGAUCAACGGCGUCUUGACAGGCUUGUUCUGCUUCUGCCUUUGAGAAGAGCUCCACUUGUGGGGCAUUAUGGAGUAGAUCAGUCAGCAGCACGGCCUCGGCUCCAUAAACCAGGAAGAAAGGAGUCCGGCCAGUCGACUGAUUUAGUGUUGUUCUCAGACUCCACAUUACUGAUGGUAACUCAUCUACCCAGGCACCAGCUGCAUGCUUGAGGUCUCGCAUCAAUCUGGGCUUCAACUCUUGUAAGAUCAAACCAUUUUCUCUUUCUGCUUGCCCGUUCGACUGUGGGUGAGCGACUGAAGCGUAGUCGACCCGGGUGCCCUGGGAAGCGCAGAAAGCUCUGAACUCAUCUGAAUCAAAGUUUGAACCAUUGUCUGUGAUGAUGCUGUGCGGGGCUCCAUAUAUGAAUGUUAAUUCUCUGAUGAAGCUGACGACGGUUCUCGAAUCGAGGUUCUUGAUGGGUUUGGCUUCAAUCCAUUUGGUGAACUUGUCGACUGCAACAAGCAGGUGGGUGAAACCACUUCUGCAAUCCUCAAGGGUCCAACCAUAUCCAAUCCCCAAACCGCAAACGGCCAGACGAGUGGAAUGGUAUUCAACGUGAGGCGGGCUUGUGAGACAUGUUAGAGUAAAACUGGCAGCCCUCACACUUGUCGACUAUUUCCUUCGCCCGUGGCCAGUAAAAAUCUGCUCAGUAUGCUUUGGCCAUGAUUGUCUGAGAGGACGCAUGGUGACCACAGGUCCCCGAGUGGAUAUCAUUGAGGAUCAUUCGACCUUCCUCCGGGGUAAUGCACCAUUGAGAAACUAUAGUCACACUCUCCCUGUACAGUCGACCACUUAUCACAGUGAAGGCUUUGGAUCGACGGACAAUCUGUCGUGCUUCAUCUUCGUCUUCUGGAAGCUCUUUCCUGAGAAUAUAUGCGAUGUACGACAUUGUCCAAUUAGGAAUGAUAAGCAAAACUUCCAUGAUUAAGUCUACCACGGCUAGGAUUUCAACUUAAGUCGGAUCAGUAGAACUCUUAGGUUACGGGGGCUCUUCUAUAAAGGGAUCCUCUUGAACUGAUGGUGUGUGAAGAUGCUCCAAGAACACAUUGCUGGGAAUGGGCUCUCCCUUGGAACCUAUCUUUUCCAGGUCAUCCGCUGCCUGAUUCUUCAGUCGGGAAAUGUGGUGCAGCUCUAGCCCUUCAAACUUCUUUUCUAACUUUCUCACUUCAUUACAAUAACCAGUCAUAGCUUGCCUUCUGACAUCCCACUCAUUCAUCACUUAAUUGACCACCAAAUCUGAGUCGCCGUAGACCAUUAGGCCACGGACGCCGAGUGAAAUGGCCAUCCGCAACACAUAUAGAAGCGCUUCGUAUUCAGUUUCAUUGUUGGAGGAAUCAAAGUGAAUCUGAAGGACAUAAGUAAGUAUGUCACCUCGCGGGGAUACCAGAACUACUCCAGCGCCAGAACCAUUCAACAUCUUGGAUCCAUCAAAGAACAUAGUCCAAUGUUCCUGGAAUUGAGUCGGUUGCUGUUGAUCAAUCCACUCGAUGAGGAAAUCUGCUAUUACCUGGGACUUGAUUUCUUUCUUUGCCUCAAUCUUGAUAUCCAACGGAAGGAGUUUAAUCGCCCACUUUGCCACUCGACUAGUUGCGUCCCUGUUAUUCAAAAUUUCUGACAAUGGAGCAUCACUGACGACUGUGAUAGAGUGAUUUGAGAAAUAGUGUGCAACCUUCUUUGAAGUCAAGUAAAUUCCAUAGACAAGCUUCUGAUAAUGUGGAUAUCUCUGCUUGGACGGGGUUAAGACUUCCGAAAUAUAGUACAAUGGGCGCUAAACCUUAUAGGCUUUACCUCCUUCUUCCCGCUCGACCGUGAGUACUGUACUAACAACUUGUCCACUGGCUGCAAUAUAAAGCAGUAAAGGCUCUUUGUUGAUUGGAGCAGCAAGCACCGACUGGGUGGAAAGCAGGGUUUUGAUCUCUGCAAACGCUGCGUCAGCUUCAAGAGUCCACUCGAACUUAUCAGAUUUCUUCAUCAAUCGGUAAAGAGGCAAUGCCUUUUCAUCGAGAUAAGAGAUGAAUCGACUCAAGGAGGCCAAACAACCAGUAAGCUUCUGAACAUCGUGUAUGCACAUAGGGCUUUUCAUUUGGAGUAUUGCACCAACUUUCUCUAGGUUUGCAUCGAUCCCAUGUUCGGAAACGCGGAAACCAAGUAACUUUGGCGUACCUCUCUGGGUGCUCUAGGUCCAAGGGUAUCUUCUUCGUCUCUUUGGCCGGCUUAAACGAACCCUCAGCCUCUGACUCUUUUGGGUUGGGCGACACCUCAGGCUGCUUGCCGGCCAUUGCCACAACUCGCUCAAGGAGCCGCUUCUCAGCCGCGAUUACCAGGGACUCGGCCAGCCGACUUCUCUCUGCUGCGCAAGCAGACGACUUCCGGUAGUCGCCAGCCAUAGUUAGAAUUCCCCUGGAACUGGGCAUCUUCAUCUUGAGGUAGGCGUAGUGGGGGACCUCCAUGAACUUGGCCAAGGCAGGUCAGCCAAACAACGCAUGGUAUGGGCUCUCGAGAUCCACCACCUCAAACCAAACGGGCUCUCUACGGAAGUGAUCUUUGUCCCCAAAGAGGACGUCCAUCAGGAUCUUGCCGAUUGGCGAGCAGGAAAGACCAGGAACAAUGCCGUGGAACACAAUUCGGCUAUUCUAAAGCUGUCUUUGCUUGAUUCCUAACUUCUCCAUGGUGUCCUUGUACAGGAUAUUGAUGCUACUGCCCCCGUCUAUCAGAACUCGCGAGAAACGCGCGGCUUGUCUGUCCGUAGCAAAGGUGGCAUCCAGGACCAAGGCAUAAGAGCCUGGACUCGGCAUCACUUUUGGGUGGUCAGCCCUGCUCCAGCUGAUGGGCUUCUCAGACUAGUGCAUGAACUCUGGCGUCUCUGACGCUACUGCAUUCACCUCUUGUCGCUGCAGCCGCCUGUUGUGUCGAUCAUCAGCCACACUGGUGAACACCACAUAGGCUCCAUGCUCUUCAGGGUAUUCGUCUUGUACUGCGCCGACUGGCUUGACAGCCAGCUGCUGGGGCGGAGGCGGAGGCGGCUGCCCAGCAGGCGGGGGAGGCAGGAGGCCGUCUCCCUUGGCGAUCCUGGUGAGCCAGUGGCACUUCCAGGUGGUGUGAUUCGAUGGCUUUGCACCGCUAUGGAACUUGCAAGGUCCAUCCAAGGUCUGCUGAUAGGAGAAGGCAGGCAACCAGUUUGGCUUGCCGCCUUUCUUUUGCUUGGGCGGGGGCUGCUCAUCUGGCUGCUGGGCUUCAACGAUCGUGACCUGCCUGCUGCUGGAAGCUGGCUGCGGGGCCUUGCGCUUGUUGUCGCCCUGCUGUUGUCGCCGGCCGGCGUCUGCCGCCGGAGUUCUUGGAGCUUGAGGAGCCACUUUGCUAGUUGUGCUGAUUUGAAUUUCCGCCUUAAUGGAGGAGUCGGCCAUGGCGUAUUUGUCCGCUAUGAUCAGCAGCUCAUCGAGGGUUCUGGCUCGUCACAAAGGAGCUUGUGCAUGAGGAGGGUGCCUUCUCUGCACCCGGCUGUGAAGUACUCGAUGGCCUGCACCUCGUGCAUGCCCUCGCAGGAGUUCCGGAGCUCGGCCCAACGCGUGAGGUAAUCACGAGUUGACUCGUCGGGGCCUUGCACGCACAAGGAGAGCUGACGAGGCUUGGGAGGACGCUUGUACGUGCUGGUGAAGUUGCGGACGAACGCUUCGGUGAAGUCGACCCAGCUGUUGAUGUUGCGGGGCUUCAGGCCGUUCAGCCAUGUCCGGGCCGUGCCCUGGAGCAUGAGCGGAACGUACUUUAUGGUGACACGCUUGUUGCCGUUUGCUAUGUUGACAGCCAUGGAGUAGUCAACUAGCCAGUCUUCCGGGUUCACGGAGCCGGUAUACUUGGGCGUGUCUCUUGGGAGCGUGAACCCUCUGGGAAAGGGUUUGUCCCGAAUGCGGGGCCCGAAACAAGGCGGACCCAGCUCGUCUUCUUCUUCUAGCGCUAAGGAUCGGUGGAGUCGGUCGAUCCGGUGGCGGGCGUCGUUCUCUCCAACUCCCUCUCGGCGGCCAAGGCGGUCACCGAGAGUCGGAUGGUCAACAGGCGGCGGGGAGACUCGCCUCUCCUUGCGGGAAGGGGAGGCGGACAAUCGUCCCGUCGUUCCACUGCUCUUGGGCGGCCGUCUCGGUCGCGCUCUAUGGUAAUGCGAGUCCGACCAUGGCUGACAGUCGGCUCCUUGUAUCUUCUACCUCGGGCGCCGCCAGUCGGUGUCUGAGACGUUGCACCUUGAUCUCGGUGAAGGUCGUCGACGGGCCGUUGAGGCGCCUGCGUGCGGCAGCCGGCCUCGUUCUGCGCGGCAGCCGCGUCGAGAAGCCGCUGGACUCGUUCCAUCAUGAGGUGGCGUUCUUCGCCCUCGAAAUUGUCCAGCUUGUUCGCUGCUGCCUGGGCAGCUCGGAUGUUCUCCGCUGGUGUAGCGUACACAGGGCGGCUUGCCCCAAACAGGUUGGCGAUGGCUACGCCGCGCUACCGGACCGUGCCAAGGCGGCUGGGCCCCGCCGGGGCCAGCGAGCCACCGACGGCGUGAUCCAUCUCCCGCUGGUAGGCUUCUGACAAGCGCCUCAUGCUGGCCAGCUUCUUCGCGCCUACAAGGAGUUGAAGGCGGCGUGCCUCCAGCGUCUCUGCGUCAGCGUCUUCCGAAAUGGGCGCAGUUAGGUCUUGUAGCGCCGCGCCUAGCGAGUCGUGCGCUCCUCCACCGGGGAGCUCGUCAUGACUGGUGACUAGCACCUCGGUGACGGUGCUUCCGUUGCUCUCUGCGUGGGGGAGAGGUUCGUCGUAGACCACCACAUUGGUGGGGAACGCGUCGAGCGACGUGGUGUUGGAGUCGACCAGCAUUGGGUCGGUUGAGCCUAGGGACUCCAAGUCUACGGCAGGCUCGCCGGAAACGUGGAGUUGAUCGAGGAGGCCUGCGAGGAGGUUCUCGGGGCCGCCCGUGCCUGCGUUGGAUGUAGGUUCGUCGGAGAGGCGGACCUCACCGACAAGUUCGGCCAAGGAGCUGACCGCGCAGGCAAUUUCGACGCCGCUUAGCGCGUCGACGCAAACUCCGUCUGGCGUGCCUGGCUGGCUGCGCUCGCCAGGGAGGAAAAGGGUUCCCGUCCAGAGCAGAUCUCCAGACGGCGGUGCACCAGGCCCCACGGUGGGUGCCAAAUGUCGGGGGUUUGGUGCGACAUAUGCCAACGGAUGGCUUAUCAUGGUGGGGGCGAGUAGAACGUCGCUGGUGCCUGGAAACGGGAUGAGGCGAAGACAUGCACGCCGGUGAAUCUUACCCAGCUUCGGGGCUCUCCGGGGAGAUAAUACCCCUACUGCUGCUCUGCGGGGUCUCCGCAUGAUCACUAUGGCCAAGUGUUUACACGGUUGCUCCUUGAGCUGUUUUCUGGUGGUAGGAGAGGGCAAGGCUAGCUCUCUCCCUUCUAUAUGAUCUGUUCUAGAGCUAAUGGGUUCCAACCCUUUGCAUGGGUGCCCUGGGGGGUUUAUAUAGGCCUACCCCCCAGGGGUACAAUGGUAAUCCGGCUGGACGCGGGCCCAGCUGUCAGUGUCUCUGGCCUCCGUCUUCUCUACUGACCGCUGGGGCCCGUCGACUGGCGGGCCCCGCCGACUGGCCUGGUACGGAGCCGACAGGCCGUGUCCGCCGCGGGCGGGUCUUGCCGGCUGCUGGUUACUGUAGCCAUGCUUCUGAUGACGCGAGCUUGAUCAUGAGGUCGUGGUAACAGCCCCGCCACCUGGCGUGCGAUCACUGUUGCCACUCCCCAUCACAUCUUGAUUAAUGGCGCAUGGGCCCCGGGGGAGGGCUCGGCCGACUCCCCCGGGCCGACUCCCGACGGGUCCGACUGGUGGUUCUCCUGCCGUCUCCCGAGGUCUCACUGACUGGUGGGGCCUGCUGCCUCCAGGCCGAACAGACAAGCCGUCGUGGGUGCAGGAUUCGGCCCUGCGGUGCUGAUGUUAGGGCCGGCAUGGCAACAGUGCCACGCCGCACGGAGAUCUUCCGGGGUACGGCGUGCUGUGGCCAUGCCUGCCCUUGGUGAGGGGCGGGGGUGGGCUUCGCUGUAGCCACGCCCCUGCCUCGUCCCCUCUGAUGAGGUCAUGGGGUUUGUUGGAGUCGCAGGCCGACUCCCCACAGCCGGCUUCUCUGCAAGUUGUCCCUGGGACUCGGCCGUGAGCGGGCAGUCGGCCGCCUUGUCGUCGACUCCCCAGGAGGCGGCUCUUCGUCCUAGGGUCUUGAGGGGCGCAGCCUGCCCCGAUGUCUUGAAAGGUUCUGGGGCUCGGGUUGGCCUACCCGCGGCCCAUUACUCCGACACCCAGGCUUUAGCAUGACUUAAAGUUGUUACAGCUCCAGCUCUCGCGUAUGAUCGCUUGAUUUCUUGGAACCGGGCGGGGAAGAUAUACAGCUUCUUCAAGAUGUCACUUAAUAGAGUCGGCCCUUGAUUCACGGGGGAGAUAGUCUUGGGGGCUAAUGUCUGUCAGCGCAAUUUUUUUCAAAGGAAACAAUUUUUCUAAAAAGUCCCAAGUGUUUUGCAGGCAACAACACUCGGCACUUGGGGGCUAAUGCAUAUUGCUUGACUUUUCUUUCUACAAGUGAGCCGGAUAAGCUGUCCACAGUCUCAGCCAGCUCAGGCAGGUUAUACGGUUCAUUUCUAUGCAAUAAUUAGUAGGACCGGCUCAUUCAUACUGAUUAAACCGGCCCUUGGAGAAUAGCAGGGUAUAUAACUUAUAUGAGAUGGAGAACAUACCUCAUAUUUUUGAUGCAUCUGUUUGACCAUUUCAAUUUCUGAGUCAUGGCUGGAGUGCACUUGACUGAGAUAACUAGAUAGCACUUCACUAAUACUCAGGUGAGCAUAGUGGGAGACAUCCAACCUCACCUUUUGCCUCUCCAUAACUUCUUGUUUGGCAGAGUGUCUUGCCAAGACAGUUGGGUUCCCCUGUUCAACGAAUCUAGUGCUAGUGAUUAAAACAUCAACAUUGUGCUUCUCCGGCGGGUUAGCUGAGCUUGAUGUCUCAAUACUUGAUGGAUCAAUAGUAGUUUCAUCUGUAGACGGCUCAUGUAAAUCAGGUUGAACAUUGAAGGCAGGGUCCUCUAGCCGUUCAGCGUGUUCAUGCACAAAGGUUGACUGCUCCGGGUCUUCAGGAUGUUCUGGUACGAGGGUUGGCUACUCCGGUUCAGUGGUUCUCGGAUCCUCAGCCGGUUUUGUUACCUUUGCUUUCUUGGGCUUUGCUUGACCGCUAGAAAGGAUUUAGACAAGUCAGUACAAUGAUACAUAUUUAAAGGUGUAUAAGAAGGGUAGUUAUCUUUACCCGGGGGCGGUCUUGAAAGCUGGAAAUUGCGUCUAUGAUGAAUCGCCGGAGGAGGAAUGGGAAAUAUCCUAUAAAGAUGGAAUCAAAAAUAAGUGAUGAAGGUAAUUCAUUGAAUAAAUACAAGGGUGAAAGCCAAAAAAGAACCUCAUUCUGGUGUUUCCUAGGAGUUUUUGGUAAGCCGGAGGGUAAAUCGUCAUCUCCACCGGUCUGGGUCUGCCGGCGGCUUUCAUGUUGCUGUCGUUUAAAAAGAAAAUGAGGAUCUAAAUAAGCCAAGGGGUGUCAAAACCUUACUUUCCGGGUUACCCGCCGAAGUUUCUGCCUUGGUAAAGGUUCUGAGUCGGAGGAAAUAAUAUUUACCUCUUCUUCAACUGCCUGGCUGGCCCCCAUAUCAUCCUGGUAAUAGUCAAUGUCAAUAAGGUGGUUAAAAAGCAGGCCAAGAGAGAAAGGGCUACCUCUGACUCAGAGGUGUCAUCCAGCUUGAGUAACUCAGAGGCGGUUGGCUUCUUCUUCUUCUUCUUCUUCUUCUUCUUCUUCUUCUUCUUCUUCUUCUUUUUCUUUGAUUUUCUGACGAUUUUCUUGGCGGCUAUUGCAGCAGCUCUAGCUUUCUUGGCAGCCUCAUGGUCAUACUUGACUUUCCAAAAGUCAGAUUUAGCCUGUGGAAGGGUAGCAUGUUGAAAUUCAUGCAAAUAUUUAAACUCUGGGUUCCAAGGUCAUCAAGGUCAUCAAGGCACACAAAGCAAUCAGGGUAGCUACCAUCAACAGUCAGGUCAAGGGAGUCAGUAACAGCAAUCUGGGUAUCAGAGUAACCCGAAACAUUUGAAUAGUGGACAGUAUCACGUCUUCACCACAAGUUUGUGCAAACGGGAUCAGGAGUUUCAUAAAAGGGCAGUAAACUCUGUUGAACCGACAGUACCCUGUUACUUGCGCUGGUCUGAGCAGGCUAUUGUGUGGAGUCGAGAGGAUCAUCCACCCAGGGUUGAUAACUCGGGUCAUUUAGCAUUGGUGGUCGCACCUCAUGUUGGAGGGUAUAGGUUCACCAAAGUGCUCAUGGACGGAGGGAGCAGCAUCAAUAUCCUUUAUUAUGAGACCUUCCGUUGCAUGGGGUUGACCGAUAAAAAUCUUAAGCCGUCAAACACUGUCUUCCAUGGUGUGGUGCCUGGUAAAUCAGCAUAUCCGGUUGGUAAGAUAGCUCUGGAAGUUGCCUUUGAAGAUGAUCAUGAAUCUAGAUCAGAGACAUUAACCUUUGAGGUGGUGAAAAUCAAGAGCCCUUAUCAUGCCCUGUCCGGACGGCCGACUUAUGCUAAGUUCAUGGCAAGGCCCUGUUAUGUUUAUCUGUAGCUCAAGAUGCCGGUUCAUAAGGGGACCAUCACAAUGCAUGGGAGCCGGAAUAUAGCCUAGGAGUGUGAAGAGGGUGGUGCGGCGUAUGCUGAGUCGGUUUGUGCAACAGAGGAGUUAAAGUUUUAAAAGGAUAAUGUUGACCUGGCAGAUAUGAAUUUGAAAAACCAACCAUAGAGCAUGAUCCGGUUUUAAAAUUUAAGUCGGUAGAUGACACUAAGAUGGUUGACUUUGUCCCUGGUGACUCAUCUAAGCAGUUCAGCAUUAGUGCUAAUCUGGAUCCGAAAUAGGAAAUCGCGCUCAUCGAGUUCAUCUGUGAGAACCGGGACAUCUUUGCAUGGAAGCCCUCAGACAUGCCGGGUGUACCAAGAGAACUCGCUGAGCACACUCUUAAUAUUGAUCCAAAGUUUAAACCGGUCAAGCAGUUUCUUCGCCGUUUUAAUGAGGAGAGACGGACGACCAUUGGAUAAGAGGUAGCCCGGCUCUUGGCAGCUGGGUUUAUCAUUGAAGUUUUUCAUCCUAAGUGGUUGGCUAACCCGGUGUUGGUACUUAAGAAGAAUGGCACUUGGCGUAUGUGUGUGGAUUACACAGACUUAAACAAGGCCUGUCCGGCUGAUCCUUUUGCUCUCCUUCAUAUUGACCAGAUUAUUGAUGCUACGGCGGGUUGUGAGCAUUUGAGUUUUUUAGAUGCUUAUUCUAGUUAUCAUCAGAUCAAAAUGGCAGUUAAGGACCAGGAGAAGACAUCCUUCAUAACUCCCUUUGGAGCCUUCUGCUAUGUGUUUAUGCCUUUUGGGCUCAAGAGUGCCCAGGUGACUUAUCAGAGGUUAGUGCAUAAUUGCCUUCAUAACCAAAUUGGGUGUAAUGUUCAUGCCUAUGUGGAUGAUAUUGUGGUGAAAUCCAGAGAGAAAGAGACACUGAUAAGUGAUUUGAAGGAAAUCUUUGAUAAUCUCUGGAUCUACAAGAUAAUGCUUAACCCGACCAAGUGUGUGUUUGGUGUGCCGGCGGGCAAGCUCCUGGGUUUUUUGGUGUCUAAUAGAGGGAUUGAAGCUAAUCCAGAGAAGAUCAAAGCUAUCACCUCUCUGGCUAAACCGGUGUGUAUCAAUGAUGGGCAGCGCCUGGCGGGUCGUAUCGCGGUGUUAAACCGUUUCAUAAGCUAGUUGGGGGAGAAGGCUAUCCCUCUGUAUCAGAUAAUGAAAAAGACAGAUAACUUUGUCUGGAGUGAUGCUGCUGAUGCAGCGUUUGAGGAUUUGAAGAAGCAGCUGAUUGUACCGCCAGUGCUCACAUCCCCUAUUGAUAAGGAGCCUUUACUGUUAUAUGUGGCUGCUAAUAGCCGGGCUGUCACUGUUGCCAUUGUGGUGGAAAGGAAGGAAGCAGGAAAGGAGUAUCCGGUUCAAAGGCCGGUUUACUAUAUCAGCGAAAUGCUCAUUGUGUCCAAGCAGAGGUAUCCACACUGGCAGAAACUUGUAUAUGGGGUGUUCUUGGCCAGCUGGAAGCUUAAACAUUAUUUUCUGGGCCAUCCUAUCACUGUGGUAAGCUCUGCUCCUUUGGGAGUUAUCAUCCAAAAUAGAGAAGUAACUAGCCGGGUCGCUAAGUGGGCCAUUGAGCUUGCACCUCAUGGAUUAAAGUAUGUGCCUCACACGGCCAUCAAGUCUCAAGCACUGGUGGACUUCAUCAACGAUUGGACAGAGCUACAGAUGCCUGAGGAAAAGCCGGAUAACACAUAUUGGACUAUUCAUUUGGAUGGGUCCAGGUAGUUGGAAGGCUCGGGGGAUGGAGCUAUUCUCGCUCCCCCUUGAGGUGGUAAAUUUUGCUAUGUUCUUCGUUUGAUGUUUCCUUGUACUAACAACACAGCAAAGUAUGAGGCCUUACUCCACGGUCUUCGGAUGGCCAAGGAAAUGAAUUUAAGCCGGGUUAGGUGCUUUGGCGACUCAGAUUUGGUGGCUCAACAAGUCCCUGGUACUUGGGAUUCUAAGGACCCACUUAUGGCGGCUUAUCGGCGAGAGGUGGACGUCAUUGCUGGUCACUUCAAAGGAUAUCAAGUUGAGCAUGUUGAUCGAAGGAAAAAUGAAGCGGUAGACGCUUUAAGUCGGCUGGGCUCUCAACGUAAGCUGGUGCCACCUAAUGUCUUUCUUGACGUCUUGCAUAACCCGUUAGUUAAGGUUCCUAUAGAGGAGGAUUUGGCUAUUCCUGACCCGAAGGCUCAGUUGGUGGUGGCUCUUCAUGUAAUCCCAUAUUGGAAAGUCCCUUAUUUGGCCUAUAUGACCCGGGGUGAGUUACCUGAGGAUGGGACCUUAGCCAGGAAGAUAACCCGGCGGUCUAAGUCAAUGUCGAUUGUUAAUGGAGAGUUACAUCAUCGCAGUGUCACAGGGGCGUUUCAACAUUGUGUGUCUCCGGAAGAAGGUUGUGAGAUCUUACGAGAAGUUCAUGAAGGAGAUUGUGGUCAUCAUGCCGGUUCAAAGUCCCUUGUGGCUAAAGCUUUCCGUCAUGGGUUUUAUUGGCUAACAGCUUAUGCUGAUGCAGAGGACUUCGUCCGUAGGCGUGAUGGAUGUCAGAAAUUUGCACGACGUACCCAUGUGCCGGCUCAAGAGUUAAGGAUGAUUCCUAUUACUUGGCCAUUUGCAGUUUGGGGGCUCGAUAUGGUUGGGCCUUUUAGAAGAUCCAAGGAUAAGAAGACUCACCUUUUGGUGGUGGUUGAUAAGUUCACUAAGUGGGUAGAGGCAGAGACGGUCAGUAAGUGUGAUGCAGCAACGUCGGUUCAGUUCAUGAAGAAGGCGAUCUUUUGUUUUGGCUUUCCACACAACAUUAUAACAGACAAUGGCACUAAUCUUUCUAAGGGUGCCAUGGAAGAAUUCUGUCAACUUGAGCAUAUCCGGCUUGAUGUGUCAUCAGUGGCUCACCCCCAAUCCAAUGGUCAAGCUGAAAGGGCAAACCAAGAGGUCUUGAAGGGUAUUAAACCCCGGCUUAUGGUCCCGUUAUAGAGGACGCCGGGUUGUUGGGUGGAAUAGUUGCCUUCGGUGCUAUGGAACAUUAACACCACCCCAAAUAGAUACACAUGAUAUACACCUUUCUUCAUGGUUUACGGAGCAGAGGCAGUUCUCCCUAGUGACAUCUGUCAUGACUCGCCUCGGGUGGCGGCUUAUGUGGAAGCAGAUAAUGAAAGAGCAUGUCAAGAGGCACUUGAUCUAUUAGAUGAAGAGCAGGACAUAGCAGCAACUCGUUUGGUGAUUUACCAGCAAGAUAUGCGUCGUUAUCACAGCCGCCGGGUUAAAAUAGAACUUUUCAAGAAGGCGACCUGGUGCUCCGGCUUAUCCAGGAUCAGACUGAUAAUGCACAAGUUAUCCCAACCUUGGUAAGGACCCUUUGUGGUCAGCAAGAAUCUAAACAAUGGGUCAUAUUACCUUAUCGAUGUUCGAGACCACAAGGACUCACACACGUCGGAGGAGGAGACCCGCCGGCCCUGGAAUAUUGCUCAGCUUAGGCCAUACUACACUUGAGCCACAGGCUCUCCUUAUGUACAUAUUUAGACAAUGUAUAUAUUAUGAUUGAUAUAAUAAACCGGCAUCCCUGCUAAAGCAGGGCCUCUGUCACACAUAAACACUAUUCUGAUCAUGGGAUCAGAAUAAUAUUCUGAUCACAACAUGAACUUCCCGAGUUACGCACCUGACCUUCCCCGAGUACUAGGUUGAACUUCAGCUAAAAGGUGUGCAAAUGGGGCUUGCGAUAUACCGUUGGAAAGCUAUGGACAUCAGUAUCAUGACCCAAGUUAAAUUUUUGGCAAAAUGUAAGCGGUUUAAGAGCAGUUUUGAAAACCAUUUUUUCUUCAUACAAAAAACGUGAAUCGUAUUUUCGAUCGCAUUUUUAAACUGUUUAUCUGAAUGAGGCAAAUAAUAUGGCGUUGGAAAGUUGCUGAAAAACCGCUCCUUCCACAUGUUGAAAGUUUUCUCUAAUUCCCUACAGUUAAAGAGUAAUUCGGAAAAUCGUAGAAUUUCACAAAUGGAACACCCGAGUUUGUAUUUUCGAUGCCAUUUCUAAACGACUAAUCCAAUUGAGGCAAAUAAUAUGGUGUUGGAAAGAUUAUGAAAAUGCGCUACUUUUUCAUGUUAAAAGUUUUUUCUAAUUUUGAACGGUUUAAAAGUAAUUUAGAAAACGGUACAACUUCCACCGAGUUCGUAUUUUCGAGCUAAUUUUUUAACCGUACGUCCAAAUGCAGCAAAUAAUAUGGCGUUGGAAAGCUUGAAGAAAUGGAAACUUUUUUGUACAUAUUGUUUCUCCUAAUUCAUUACGGUUUUAUGUUAGUUUUGAAAAUGGCUAAAAACGUAUUUUUGCCGUAAUUUUUACAAACUUUAUCGGAAUGGGGCAAAUAAUAUACCGCUGACGGAAAAUUCAAAACUUUUUCAUGUUGAUGGUUUUCUGUGAUUCCUUUCCGUUUUCAAGUAAUUUCGAAAAUGGCGAGAUCAUUCGUUCUGCCUUUAUCGCGAAACAGAUUCUUCGAAAAUGCACCGUGUGAAGAACCUGAACUUCUCGGCAUGUCUACUUGAACUUCACUCUGUUUUUCACGUGCUUUUUUUGCCCGUUUCUCUCCAUCCAUUGCUCGUAGCUCUCCAUCCACUCACCAGAAUUGAGCAAGUGAUGGAAAUCUGCUGUAAACACGCAACUUUCUCGAGUUGAUCGUUUUUUCAUACUCGCGAUAAUUUUAAAAGUUUUUCAUCUCAAAUUCAUUCACUAUAGUAGUCGAACUUCGUGCUGUUUUCAUGUUGAACUUCUGUGACGUAUUUUCGUUUUUAAUUUUCCCAUCCAUUUCAUCAGUGUUACACAAAUGAUAUUCUCUUUGUACAAACCCCUCUCACAUAGCAAAUAUUGGCAGAGCAGCAACUAUGGAUUUGAGAUGAACAAGUCUCCCAGAGUAUGACAUUAAGGAAGCAAUGCCAGAUAGUCUGUGGUCAAGUCUUGAUACCAUGGGCAUCAAAUCUUCUACUUUAGGUCUUGUAGAUCCCAUUGGUAGACCAAGAUAUGUGAAAGGCAUGGCUUCUUUUUUACAGUUGAAGGUAUUUGCCAGUUCUUGAGCUUUAUCAUCAGUCAUAUUGAUUGGAACCAUAGAAGAUUUACUAUAGUUUACAACAAGCCCAGUGAACUGGCAAAUAAUCUUUCGUUUUUAAGAUUGACUUUGUUAAGGCUUUUGAUAAAGUGAACUACAAGGCUAUCUUAUUCAUGAUGAAACAUCUGGGAUUUAGCAACAAAUGGAUUAGAUGGGUCUCAUCUAUCCUAUCUACUGCUUCUACAUCUGUCAUCCUUAAUAGUGUUCCAGGUAAAUGCAUACAAUGUAAGUGUGGUGUCAGACAAGGAGAUCCUUUUCCCCCUCUUCUAUAUGUUAUGGUUGGAGAAUUGUUGCAAAUCAUGGUUAAUGAUGCUUGGAGAAAUGGAACAUUAUCUUUACCAAUUGAGACUAAUUUUACUGAAUGCUACCCCAUCAUACAAUAUGCUGAUGACACACUGGUCAUCCUGCCAGCCGAUGAGGUACAAAUUAGAAGUUUCAUUGAGAUACUUGACAAUUUCUCAAAAUUCACUGGGCUUGUUGUAAACUAUAGUAAAUCUUCUAUGGUUCCAAUCAAUAUGACUGAUGAUAAAGCUCAAGAAGUGGCAAAUACCUUCAACUAUAAAAAAGAAGCCAUGCCUUUCACAUAUCUUGGUCUACCAAUGGGAUCUACAAGACCUAAAGUAGCAGAUUUGAUGCCCAUGGUAUCAAGACUUGACCACAGACUAUCUGGCAUUGCUUCCUUAAUGUCAUACUCUGGGAGACUUGUUCAUCUCAAAUCCAUAGUUACUGCUCUGCCAAUAUUUUCUAUGUGUUGUAUCAGAGUACCAUUCCCCAUACUGGACCACUUUGAAAAGUCUGGUAGGAAUUUUCUUUGGUAUGGUAAGGAUAUCAACAAAAAAGGAAAUUGUCUUGUCAAAUGGGAUAAUGUUUGCUUUCCAAAAAAGGCAGGGGGCCUAGGUGUGUUAAACCUAAGAGCACAAAACAAAACUCUGCUUAUUAAAUUUCUUUACAAAUUCUUCAACAAGCAUGAUAUUCCCUGGGUUAACCUUAUAUGGAACAAUUACUAUGACAAUGAUGAGGUACCUAGUUUCCCUACCAUGGUGGGAUCCUUUUGGUGGAGAGAUUGUUGCUCUAAUUUGCAAGACUUCAAAAAUAUGACUAUAUGCUAUGCUGGGACUAGUGAUACAAUUAAGCUACGGUUAGAUAAAUGGUGUUCUCAUACAAUAUCACAGUCAAUGCCUCAACUAUUUUCUUAUGCAAAGAAGGCUGACACAACUCUUGCAUCUGUCAACAACAUGGAGGAUAGUGAAUUUUAUGAAUUAUUCCACUUGCCUAUGUCUUCUAUUGCAGUACAACAGAGUAUCAAUCUUAGAGAGUUAAUCCACAACAGAGAGAACAGCAGCUAUCAGAUUCUUGGAAAUUCUAUUGGGGUGACACAAAGUACUCUAAUAAUAGAAUAUACCUUGAACUAAUGGGAAAUCCUGUUGACGCUCCUAAACCCUAUCAAUGGAUGUGGAAAUCAUGCUCACUUCCCAAGCAUAAAUUCUUCUUCUGGCUACUGUUACAAGACAGAUUAAACACUAGAGACCUACUCCACGGGAAGAAUUUCUACAUUGAGACUAGUAAGUGUGAAUUAUGUGAUGAUGAACCUAAUGAACACCUAAUGCAUCUCUUUUUUAGCUGUGAUUUCAGCCAAAUCUUCUGGAUGAACAUUGGUUACCAAUGGAACACUGAUCAUAACCUUAUAGAAUUGCUCUUGAAGGGAAGGAAGCAAGAUACCCAUGGCUGCUUUAAAGAAUGUUUGAUUGCUGGAUGCUGGAGUCUCUGGAAACACAGAAAUAGCAUUAUUUUUUAUCACAAGGUCAAGAAUAUGACAUAUUGCAUUGCCACUUUCAAGGAGCACUUCAGCAUGAUUAUAAAGAAGGCAAAACCUGGAUUGAAGGAGGGCAUGUAAAGCUGGCUAGAUCACUUGUAGACUAUUUAUUAUCUUGUACUACAUCCAUCAUGUAAAUCCAUAUGUAUCUGUUUCCCUCUUAUAAAUGAAAAUGCGAAACACAGUGGGGGUCUUCCCCACUGUUUUUGUCAAAAAAAACCACUCUCACAAUACAUUUUUUAACUUUCUCCGACCGAGGACUUCAAUUUACACAAAUGAUAUUCCUGUUGUUUUGAAGUAAAUUAGAGAAAUGACGAGAUCAUGAUUUAUGCCUUCAUUGCGAAUGGAAACGCACUGCAUGAAGUAGUUGAACUUCUCGGGCAUGUUUGUUUUGACCCUGACUCUGUUUUUGACAUGUUGUUUUUUGCACUUCGUGAAGUAGUUGAACUUCUGGGGCAAGUCUAUUUGAACUUCACUCUGUUUCACUUUAUUGUAUUGUUCUUAUAUGAAAUACACAUCAUGUAGUACAUGAACUUCCGGUUGUUAUCACUUUGAACAUCUCGCUGGUUUGAGAGAAUUAUUUUAAAACACAACAAACAACAUAUUUUUUUAUGUAUUUUGGACAUCUAAAUACACAGUGAACCUCUCUCGCAAGUUUUUUUUGAACUUUUACUCGUCGAGCACUUGAACUUCUAGCAACCUUUUUUUCGUUUAUGAGUUGUUUUUAAAAGUGCAAAAAAUGGCAUUGUGUUUUUUAUUUUUUGAACAGGUAAAUCCUAGGUUUUAAUAAACUCCGAACUUCUUUGUUAUUUCAAUAUGAACUUCCCCUUUUUAUAUUUUGAGUAAAGAAUUGUAUUCGAUUUUUAUACCGGAAAAAUCAAACAUGGAAAUAUAAGGUGAACCUCUCUCACAAGAAUUUUUGAACUUCUCCGGACAGAACACUUGAACUUCUUUUAACAAACCUUUUAAGCUUUUAUUUUUCUAUACUUUUAUUCUCACCGGAAAUGCAUUCCUUGCAGUAAUUGAACUUCUCGUUGUUUCACUAUGAACUUCUGCCACAUUUUUGUGUAUACGUCGAAUUACACGCAAUUGAAGGUUGGACGUCAUUUUUUGCCAUUUUUAAAACAUGUAAUUGGAGGUCAGACGUCCCAUUAUGAACCAUGCACGGAGGUGCAUGUGAACUUCUUGCAACAAAUCUGAGUUUUUUUAUAUACUUCGAACUUCUCUGCUAUUUUAAUUUCAACCUCUUAGUCAUAUUCUUAGAAAAGGAAAUAUGUUUUUAGAUAAGCAUCAAACAUUCUUUUUAAAAAUUGAACUUCAUUGUUUUAUUUUUCAUAGAAACGGUAAUAAUUUGAGUUUCCCAUAUACAUCGAAUUACUCCACUUUUUUAAUUUGAACUUCAUCAUUUUUAUUCUUUAGUAACAAUGAAAAUCCGAGUUUUUUUAUAAAUAUCAAACUUACCUAUUUUUGUAAUUUGGACUUCUUGGUUUAUUCUUUUAGUGACGGCAAAAUCUUAGUUUAGUCCCGUUAUUUAAAUUUCAGCUUCUAGAGUUUUUUAGAAAUGCUGAUAAUCUCAUUUUUUUAUGAUUUUUUGAACUGCUCUAUGUUUAAAAUUCAAACUUCUUAUUUUUAUUACAAGCGGUGAAAUAUCCGUUUCAAAUUGCUCUCUUAUUUUUGUACUAUUGUGUUAUUUUUGUGUGAACUUCUUAUGUUCUUCCCGUCAACAGAUUCAAAUUUUCCAUUUUUUAUACAUUGAAAUAUUGCUUUAUUUUAUUUUGAACUUCUUGAUUCCAUUCUUUAAUAACAAGGAAAAUCAUAGGUUCUAUAAUUAUCAAACUUCUCCAUAGUUUUAAUUUGGACUUCUUGGUUUUAUUUCUUGUAGUAGAAAAAAAAUUCUAGUCUUGUAAUAAACAUCAAACCACUUUAAUAAUGGAACAUUUCGUAGGAUUUUUGCAAAGAGUAAAAUCUGAGUUUUUAUAAACAUCAUACCACUCCAUUUUUUUAAAUUUGGGCUUCUUGGUUUUAGAGAAUAAGUAAAGUUUGAACUACUCAUUUUAUUAAAGUUGAACUUCUGAGUUUUCUUUUUUGUUAUGAUUGGGGAAAAUAAAAACUAAACAUUUUUUCGCACACAUCUAACCAUUGUUGUAUUUGAUAAUUCUUUUACAUGAGACCAUCCGAAUUUAUUCAUGUACAAACUUUAUUUUUGCAUUUCUAUUUUGACCUUUUUGCAAAUAUCUUAUAUGAACAUUCUUUGGGCAUCUUUAACGCACUUAUGGACGUGCACUUUUCAAGAACUAUUAAUUUUGGACUCUCACGCAUGAUGAAAUAUAACUACAAUGAUGUGGGUGUUUUUAUUUAAUUUUAUUGCUUUGAAAUAUCUUUUUCUUUUAGGUAAAAUAGGAAACAACAAUUUAACGUGGCUCACAGUUGCUUUUUUUACUUUGUAUAUCUUGGAUGUAUUUCUAGAACAAAAAUCAUAGUUGCUUUAACUUUUAAUAAUAUUACUUCGCCUUUUUCUUGAUGGGAGACGUACUUAGAUACAUUUUGUUUUGAACAAACAAUUCAUGAACUAUCUCAAACUUGACCUUCUCGAACACAAUUUCUUGGCCUUAGGAAAAUAAAUAAAAAAUAGAAAAAUACAUGGUUGUACAAGCAUAAAAAAUAGAUCGAUUUCUUUGUAUUCUCUUUUAUAUGCCUAUAGAAAUACUCAUCAUCCCCUAGGGGCGAUGCACAUGUUUCUGAGAUUGCAGAAACACCGAAAAAUAAAAACCGGUCGCUCCAUCUAACCCCUCCGAGCGUCCCACCCUCCCUUCCGCACCACCUCUCCCCCGAUCCUCCCGACCACCUCCGUAACGAUGACAUAACAAGGAUGGAAAAUGAUAUAUCUAUAGGAAGACCAUCUACAGAAAAGCCACAUCAUAAUCUUUAACCAUGGACAACAAGUUCAAACACAAAACCAAGGACUAUAGUAGCUAAACUCUCGCAGAAAUCUCUCUCUAGCAUUCUAGUUGAACUUGAACAGUAGCACACCAACAUUAGCUAGAGGGCGAGGUAGGACACAACAACAGCAGCUAGCAGCGAACACCAAAUGGAGGCUGGGUCGUGACGGUGGCACUGAGAUGGAGAAGGUGCAGGGCAUGGCAGGCAAAAAUAACUGUGAUUGAAAAGUCUUAAUUAGGUAGGUAGGCGUUACAAGAAAAAAAAAUAGCAAGUACAUCAAGUUUUAGUGCCUCUUUCACACAUAGAUGUGCAACAAAAUUGGCAUUCCUUCUUAUAUAGAUGAACUUGAACCCCUGGAAACUUGUGAGAUACGAAUGCAUCUCUCGAAAGCCAUCGACCGCCUCAGAAAAAGACUUGGAAUCCUUUGACAUCAUGCAUCAAACUUGGCCUUUAGUCUCAAUAACAUUAUUUCAUAAUCCUUUUUCAAUCACGAUCAACAUGGUUGUCCCUGCGAGCCAACUAUCGGCUUUACGAUUAUGAAAAUACUAGAUUUUGGCAAAUGUGUACGAGCUACUGAAGAAAUUGAAGAUAGUUGCAAACAAUAUACGAGCUACAACCUAACAAUUUGCAAGCGCUUGAGUGAAGGCAACACCUUUGUUCUUCUUGAACUUCUCAUUUUUCUUAUUCUGAACUUGAUGUUGUUAUUUUUUUUGCAACUGCCAGUGCCGGGAGGCCGGCUUCGCUCCGUCAGGUAGCCGCGUCCACCUCCUCACAGGAUAGCGAGCAGGGGAGGAAGGAGAGAUAGACCUGGCAGCAAGCGGGGGAGGAGCCGGAGUAGCGCUACAUCAGGGAUGCAGGGUGAACCUGAACCUGAAGUACAUAACACACAUGAAAAACACUCUUAAGUAAUCCAAGCCCUAUCAAUUAGCAAGCAAGGACUAAGCUAGAAAGGAAAAUGAACACACAAAACUAGUACUGGUGCACUAAGACAUUUUAGCCAACAUUUUGCGUGCACACACAAAAACUAGAGAAGUGGAGAGUGAAGAAGCAGAGAGGAGGCACAAUGGGUAGGGAACCUGCAGUGCUGCAUCCGCAUUCAGGGAUGGGUCGGGGACGAAGGAGCUUGCUGGAGCAGCACCCACCACCCCAUGCACGCAAAGUUGGAGCUGGUUGAGAUGAUAUGCGUCCUGGAAGAGUCGCCCUGCUGUUGUGGCACGACUUGGACUGCAGCGACCCACACAAUUUUUGUUGAUGCAUACACAAUGGAGGAGAUGAGCUUCGAUUAGCGUCAAUUAGCGCGCACACAUCUGGCGAGCACAGCGGCCCCGAUCCCGGGAGUGGUGGCCCGACGGCGGUGAACAGCCAGUGCUUUGCAGGGCGGGUCCCGGCUGCGGUGCACUAUGGGGUUCGUGCGGGAGGAUGCAAGGCCGGCCCCCUCCUCACAAGGCAGCGCCCUGCCGGGAGCCAUGGCUGUGACAGGGAUGAGCAAGAUGUUGAGAUCCAUCUUACCUCGCACGACGGUGGCGAAUGACUACAACUGGAGUCAUUGGACUGCAAUGGUGGGGUUGAGCUGGAGGAUGCAAUGGCGGCGGCGACAUGCACAUCAAUGCCGAGCAAAAUAAUGUGCCCAUUUUUGUUUUCCUGCAUUAGAAAAUGUUUUGCAAGAGAUUCCAGAUGCUACAACUAGUUCUCAUUAAAUUGGAGGAUACAAAAUCAAAUUCCCAAUACAAAUACAUUUUUAAUCUGGAACUAACAGAGGUUACAACAGAGAACAAUCCCUGGUUUCUCAAAUUGGAAUUCAUGCCCUUUUUAUGUCAUCGUUACAAACUAGACUUCUUUUUUUUCUAAUAAGAACACACACUAUAAAGGAAAAAUAGAAAUUUCUUUUGCCAUCCUUGGUGGAGCACAUAACGGCAGGUGCAACAAGUUCAGAGUGUGCAAGUAGAAAGGAAGAGGU